GUGAAUACUAUUAAUCUAUGGCCGGCGUGUGUGUAAAAAAGACAAUGAAGUCUCAAACAGAGCUGCCGGAACAAGUCCUCCACGACGAGAUCCUCACGCGACUCCCCCUAAAAUCAGUGGUACGAUUUAAAUCCGUUUGUAAAUCCUGGUCAUCUCUCUUCACUGAGCCCAAAUUCGUAAAACAACACCUCACUCGCAGCGCCACUCAAAACCCUCACGAUUAUGAUCGUCUCGUAGCUAAUAAUGGCCGUGCUAUUGUCAUUAUCUCACGCUAUGAAGAAACAUAUCUACUCCCCCGCGACUUUAAUUGCAGUUACAAAUUGCUUGGUUCGGUUAAUGGUUUAAUUUGUCUUUAUUCUGCCAAGAAAUUUUUGUUGUGGAACCCAGCCAUUCUUCAAUUUAAAGUUAUCACCCUUCCAUCAAGUUUUAUGUCUAGUUUUAUAUAUAGAAUUGGUCUCGGUUUUGAUCAUGUCAGUAAUAAUUAUAAGGUUGUGGUGAUCAAGCAUAUCGGCGAACCGGCCUGUGUUUACUCCUCUAAUUCUGAUUCAUGGAAUGAUUUACCUAAAUAUGAGUUUAGGGAAUGGGACUGCUAUAGUCAAGAAUUGUCCGUACUGGACAUAUGUUUCACUUUCGCGGAAACAUGAUGGGACGUGGUUACGCAGAUGUGGUGGGAUAAAGUUUGAUGUCGGAAGUGAUCAAUUCAAGUUGUUGCCUCAGUUUGAUGCAGUGAUGGUGUUUCGCCCUUCAAGUGAUAAAUUUAGUAUAAAAUUUGUGAAUGUAAGGGACUGUCUUACAUUGAUGUUGUCUGAACGAUCUCAUAGCAGGAUGGUGGAAUUAUAUUCUCUAGACGAGGAGGGAUGCGGUGUUUGGAGUAAGAUGUACAGUGUACUGCUAUACCGGGCAGAUCUGUCACAAGGUUUUAAGAACAGUGAUGAGAUUGUAUUUAAGAAAAAUGGGAUGAUGUACUGCUAUGAUCAAAAAAGCAAUACAUCAAAGCGUAUUCUCUCUGCAGGUUGCGGUGACAUAAGCAGCUGCUUUACAUAUACGCCUAGUUUAGCUUUCCUUCAAGGAAUGCAAUCUGUUCAUUUACAAACCGAGACCCAAACUCGUGAACUUGGUUACAACUACACCACUCCUUGGAGGUUAAUCAGUUCAUUAAUUAAAGAACCAUUUACUGAUGGUCAUAUUGCAGAUUAGACGGUGUUUGAUUGAAUGUGUGGGUAGUAUUAUAAGAGGGCACAAGAUCAUGUAUAAUGCUUUGGUGGCUGCGCUCUGGAAUUUCGUUCUGUUUUCUUCAAUUUCUACUCAGGUUUUGUUAUCCUCUUCUCAUAAUUUCAAAUCUGGGAAGUCCAUGUAGCUUAUCAAUUUCUCCCAUGUUAAAUUUCUGUUUUGAUUCGCAAAUAUGUUCCGACAAAUCAGAUAUUUACAAUAUUCAUUGAAUUGUCUCUUCUUAAUAUUCUAGGCUUUGGCGCUAUUAGAUGCAUAAUUUCAUACUCCCUCCAUUCAAAUAUUGUGUAUUCCUUGCACUUUUCUUUAUAUAAUGUUCCUUCUCAAUUCCUUAUAUUUUUUUGAUAUAAUUAAUAUAAAAAUUUAUUCUAACCACUACUUUUUUCCAUUAAUACUUAAAUAUCAAUUACUUCUAUUAAUAUACGCCCUUUCCUUAUGUUUCUCCCACCCGCUUUAUACACUUUCAUGCACAAUCCAAACAUAACGCUUUACUCCUGAAUUUUGAAAAUGAAGUAAAGUAAAGAGUAAGCAAAGGACUUUCAUCCUAAUUUUGGAGUAAAAUUAUGUUAAAUUUAUAUUAAUCUCCUGAUACAUUGUUCUUAUUAUAAAUUCAAGAAUACAAAUAUAAAUGAAAGUUAAACUACUUAAUUUUUUUAUUUUUUUGAGAGAAAAUUACUUUAUUUUUUAAAACUCCAAGUAGGGAUUAAAUAAAAUGAAAAAAAGGUGAGCGGAGGUGAACACAAAAAAUCGUAUGACGUGGUUUUCGAACUCAAAGGUAUACAAAGGAUCCUCUAACGUGGCCCGAACCUUUAUUUUUUUCUCAAACCUCUGAGUUCAAAACAUGACUAGCUCUUCCAUUGGAUCGUCCUCGGAAUCAAAUUGGACUUGGUUUUGAUCUUUUAGACAAUGAUUACAAGGUUCUUAACUCGUCUUGUUCUGGAUGUGGUUCAAGGUAUGCUGAUAUUUUCUACUAUAUUUACUCCUGGAUUGAUAUAACUGUUUCUGGUUAUGAUGUCUUGCCUGACAAACUAGACACUCCAGCUACUUAUGUCAAGGAUUGUCCUUGUAGGACUUUUUCUAAAUACUCAGUGAAGUUUGAUGCUACACGUAAAUGAGUUCUAGUUGUUGCCUAAAUUAUGUACUAAAAUGUAAUAUGAAUAACUAUUUUACUCUAACAGAUUACUGAGAGAUAUGAUUUGAAUUAUAAGGUGUACAUAUAUUCUUUGGACGAGGAAUGUGGUGUUUGGGACAAGAUGUGCCGUGUUGGACCACGCGAUUUUUUGAGGCCAGAUUGGUAUUUGUCACAGGGUUUUAACUUUUUAAAUAUGGUGGUGAGUUUGUAUUUCAAGAGAGUGGACAAUUUUUUCUUUGAAUACUAAACACAUCUUCUCAAGCGUAUUAAUGGGACAUGAUUUGGUUUUUCAAACAUUUCCUUUAGCUAUACGCCUAGUUUGGUUUUCCCCGAUGGCAUGAAGGCUAAUUUGUAAAUUCUUCAUACACUAGUGCUACGUUUAUUGGAAAUAAUGGACAUAGAAUGGAAUGGAGAUUGAAAUUGAGUAAAUUGAAGUAAGCAAAGAAAGUUGUUAAGGGGAAUAGUAAAAUUAAUAUGUACUUUUGUGCAUUCAAGUAAUACAAAUUCUAUUCCACUUCCAUUCCUCCCCACCGAAAAGUGCAGAGGCAAGCAACUGCACAUGAAGAGAGAAAUUAUUGUUUUAGGUCAUUGUAUGAUAAUUUAGGCUGUUCAAGUGUUUACUAGUUCAGAGUGCUCAUACUCAGUUUUUUCUUUUGAUAUUUCGGAAUCAAGAAAGUAUUGAUAGAUUCUUCUAAACUUGUGUCAAGUAUUUAUAUGAUAGUAUAUCUGCAAACCUGAAGCUACAACCGAGUCCAAAUUUAUGCAUCUAUAUAUAUUCAUAAAAUAUUUUUAAUCUUUUGUGUGGGAGUUCAUUUCAGGUCUAAAGCUACAAUUGAAGUAUGCAUGUAAGUAUUCAUCGAAAAUAUCUGUAUACAAAUUACAUAGUUCCAGUCCUGAAGCUACUACGAAGUACCAAUAUGCAUGUAAGUAUUUGUCAAGAAUAAUUGUUCAUGAAUUACUCCCUCCGUUUUAAAAUAUAGGUCGCUUGACUUUUUGGCACACAUUUAUAAGUCUUUUGAUCGCUUAGUUAAAAUUAUUAUUUUUAGAAUUUUUCUUUCUUGAAUUAUACUAUUAAUCAUAUAUUUUUAUUCUGAAAAAGAAAAUUGUAAAAUGAUUUCAACUAUGCGGUCAAAUGACUUAGAAGUGUGUGCCAAAAAGUCGAACGACCUAUAUUUCAAAACAGAGGGAGUACAUGCAUUUGAUGAUAUCUAACUUGAACCACAGCUUAUCAGAACUAUAUGAUUCUGACAGUACCCUUUUAUUGCAGUUUCAAUCUACUCUGUAAGACUCAAAUCAUUGAUAUUUGCAACUGUGUUCACUCUGUUACAUCCGGUUCUUAAAUUAAAUACAUAUAUAAAAGGCUUGUCACUCAGUAAUGAUUGGUUCCUAUUAUUCCUCUUACACGCAUAUGAAUGUAGGAACUUGAUAUCAUUAUUUUUCCAUAUCUGUCAAUAGUCAUAAAAAUGCUGAAUAAUUUUAGCUACCCCUGUUGUCUGCGGAUGACAUACAAAAAAUGUGUUUACGGUACUAGUAAGAAACCCCUCGCACACUUGUGCUACUCUUUGUUGGCAUUAAUAGAUAUGGUAUGGAACGGAUAUAGAAUUAUGAAUCAACUGAACAUAUAUAAGAAAGAAUUGGAAUGUACUUUUGUAAAUUCAAAUAGUACAUAUUUUAUUCCAUUAUUUUCCAUUUUCAUUCCUUUAAACCAAAAAAUGCAUAUGCACCUGCUCUAAAACUCCUUAGUGAUUCCCAGUACUAGGUCAUCGCCCCAGAACUAAAGAUAGUUUUGAGGGCAUAGUCAUGUAAGACGGGUCUGGAGUAGGGGGGCACGGGACAACUGGUUUGUUUUUGUCAAACUGUGGUUUGAUGUAAAAGUACCUCAAGAUCUAGUUUGAAAAGCAAAGUAUAGGCUUCACUAGAUAAUGGGAAAGCAUUACAUUGAUCUGUAAGCUUCAAAUAUAAAUAAUUAGUUUCUCAUCCUUCUCUACCUUCUGUUUAUUUCAGUUUGUCCUACUUCUCUACCAAACAAGCCAAAUUCAACCUAAGAGCAUUGGUAAAUGUUUAGUGCUCUUUGAGCUACGACAGCUGGAUGAAUCUUUAUGAUCAGAAGGUUGUAUGGGUGAAGCUUAAAAAAGCCUGCUCAAAAUGGAAGAAUUGAGUAUAUAAUUUGACAGUACUGCUGCAAAUGCUUCCCUUUCAAAGGUAAUUGGAUUCUGCUCACAUACAUUGUUCAUCAAUGUGAUCCAUGUUACUCCUGUUCUCCCUGCUUCAAGGUGAUCUCUAGUCAUGUCCAAAUCUAACUUUUCGGAUAUGUAUGUAAUUGAAUGGGUAAGUUUGCUUUUAAUGUUAUGGUCCAUUGUAGAGAUUCAAGUAUACUCCUGCACAAAUGCCUCGAAUGAGGGUUGGACACUCAACCUGUUAUUACCAGUAAAAGAAAGUUUUCUCAAGACUGAGCUUUAAAUAAACAUUAUUGCCUUCUUUUUUCACAGAUUUUCACACAAAUUAUCAUAUUGAGUUUUAAAAAUAGUCACGCCUAAUGACAUUGCGUAUCCACCUUUAAGGUGUCUCAAUUGAUUUGUGUGCUAUGUGCGUGCCAGUACUUGUAUUCAUUCGGAAAUUAGGGGGUAUGUAUCUGUUACCACAAUCAAUAUAUAUUGAAACUUAGGCGAUUUGGGUCAUUACCAAAAAAACACUCACAAUGAAGGUGAAAAAAAAUAUUACGGCCGCUAGAGUAAACGGGGUAAGAAAGAUGCCGGCAGAACUGCCGGAGGAAUUAAUCCGUAACGAGAUACUUAUCCGCCUCCCAAUCAAAUAUGUGGCACGAUUCAAAUCUGUUUCUAAAUCUUGGCUAUCCCUCCUUUCUGAUCCUGAAUUUGUGAGAGAACAUUACACUCGCAGCGCCUCUGGAAACCCUAACGAGUACGACUGUCUCAUAGCUGAAAAACAAUUCAGGAUCGUCAUUCUCUCCCGAUACAACGAAACUUUGGUUCUUCCUACCGAUAAACACUAUCAAUUGGUUGGUUCUAUCAACGGCAUAGUUUGUCUCCGUCGCUGCCAAAAGUUGUCCUUGUGGAAUCCUGCGAUUCAUCAAUCGAAAGAGGUAACUAUUGCACCACACCAUUCUGGUGAAAUCAAUAGCAUCGGAUUCGGUUUUGAUCCAGUAAGUAAUGAUUACAAGGUUGUAGUCUCGAUUGAUUCAAGGUUUGCUAGUUUUUACUCUUCUAAAUUCGAUUCUUGGACUGAUUUAUUUGUUUCCCCUACUCUUCUUCCUAAAAGUAGAGACUGUGACUCAUUUGCCCCAACUACUAUUGUAAAAAAUUGCCCUUACUGGACAACAAUGGUCUAUAGACUCACAACACCGUUUAUAUAUUUUGCUUCACUGAAGUUUGAUGCUGGGAGUAAUGAGUUCAAGCUGUUGCCUAAUUUUUACUAUGGUAGAAGUGGUGCACGUGGAAAGGAUUUUAAAUUUGUGAAUAUGAAGGAUUGUCUUGCUUUGAUGGUGCAUGAACGUGAUUCUAUUGAUACACUCGUAGAGGUAUAUUCUUUGGACGAGGAGGGUUGUGGUGUUUGGAAUAAGAUGUACAAUCUGGGACCUUUCAAUAUUCAUGAGAGUGUACUUCUGUCACAGGGUUUUAAGUAUGGUGGUGAGAUUUUAUGUCAUGUGUAUGGCAAACUUCUCUGCUAUGAUCUCAAGACAGGCACUAUUAAACACAUUCAAGAUACAACUGGUAUUCGUGUAGUCUAUGGAUAUACCCCUAGUUUGCUUUCUCUGCCAGGAAUGGAGUCUGUUUAUCUACAAACCCAAACUCGUACACAUGGUCUCGGCUCUAGAACUCCUCGGCGAUUAAUCAAUUCAUUAAGAGGAUAAUCAGUUGCUAAUUCCAAUUGGCAUUCUAGACAUUUAAGUGUUGAUGAUAUGUUUAGUUGAAAAAUAUGGUGGGGAAAUGGCCAGUUUAAAUGUUUAGGGAUUAAUGGUUGAAAUUUGCAUCUAUUUUGCUCAUACUUUUUGCUGGUUUUCAUUGUUUUAUGUUCAAGGAGACAUGGAUGAAAUUGUUGUUUGUUAUAUUCUGUUUCUUUAUUUUUCAUUAUAUUCUAUAUGCUUGACUUUGUUGUAUUCAUUCUCCAAUAAAUUCUGGUUUUCUCAUUUUACAUUAUAUGUCACCUCUGUAGGUAUACUGGUCUUAAUCACACAAAAGACCUAAACUUUGUUCCCUUCUUAAUUCUUGGUGUCUUCAUAUUGGUCAAUUCUUUUGUAGGAGUAAAUCACUAUAUAAGUUUGUGGUGAAUAGAGAAAUGAAUGUAUUAUAAAUUUUUUAAAAGGUUUUGUCAGUGCUGGUAUCCUCAUUACAUGGUUCUUGUUGAUUAUUCCUUUCCUUGGCCUUUUUUGCAUAGUUACUUCUUUUAGUUACAUUUUGAGGAAUAUUUUCUUCUGCAUGACAGUUUAUUCAUUACUGGACUUGAGCAACCGUUGUGUACCAAUUUAUGCCUAUAGCUAUUCAUCAAAAAUGGAUGUGCUAGUUCAAAACUUUGGUUUUACAGUCAAUAAAAAUUUCUCACAUUUCCUGUAUUAUCAUUUAUAUCUAGCUUGAACCAAAUGCUUUAUGAUUCUGAAGUUAAACAUGUAUUACAGUUUCAAACUUCUUCACUUUGUUAUGUUAAUAUGUACUGUACUGGAUAUGACUCAAGUCGUCGAACUUCCAUGCUACUUUUUCUUCUUUACAUUCAGGUCCAGUUGGAUAAAAUUUAUAUAAGUAAAAUCAAUAUAGUCAGAGUGUAUUUGACCAGUUUCGGCAAUGGCUUAGUAUAUUAGAAUGUAGUCUGGUAGUAGAAUUGAAUGAGAUUUGAUGUUUUAAUCGCCAUUUUCAGUUGGUGCAAAGAUUAAUUCUUUUUUUAAACCAGAACGCUUUAUGCACAGACUAAGAUUGCAUAUGAUAAGUGAUCUCUGUGUGAACUUAAUUCAUCUAGUAAUAUACAGUAAUGUUGUAUUCAUCAAUUUCUCCGUUCAAUCAUAUGAGGUUUAAUGAACUCUAUACUUUGCCAUGUACAGAUGAAUUCACAUGCUUUCCCCCACUUUAUACUUAGCAGAUUUGAAUUAUAUUAAAAUUUAUGCUGUUCACGACUCCCACCUCUUGUUAUGUUUUCUAUCCUUCUAUAGAUGGCUCUUUUUCAUGUCUUUCAUCCUUUUCAUCCAUCUCCAGUUUUUACUUGUAAUUCAGUUUGGCACACCUCUAUUCCAACGUCAAAGGCAACUUAAAAGUGUUGUCGACUGCUGUCACAAAUUAGCUGUGCAGUUUCUAGUUGAAUAACCAGAUGGGCUACUGAAAAGGCUAGAAACAAUGAUGCACGAGACUGGAGAAAGGUGAAUCACAUUCUCCAUAUAAUAUAGAGAUCAUUCACUCCUCUCAAUCAUAUGUUUUACAGGAAGCAUUCAGAAUAUGGAUUUUACCCAUAUUUCACUUGCAUCUCUUCCAAAAUUCUGUCACCUGAUACCUCAUCAGUUCAUCACAUGUAUAUUCUAUUUUAAUGCACAUUCCUGAUUUCACCAAACUAAACAGAUGGGGAAAUUGAGGUUUAUUUGUCUGCUUCUUUUACAGAGAAGAAACUUAUUCUCUGGAACCCUGUUACCGAUCAAAAGAACAGGUAUCACAUAUUCGGUCAAGUAUUCAAGUCAGUUUAUGCAGCAUCCUCAUACAUCUCAUAUGGAUUCUGCCUAUCGUGCUUGUGGUUUACUACUUUCUUCUUCUAGUGAUCUACAGUUGCAAGGUUAAACUGACUUGGAUUGGGCAGGAUGCCCAACCACGCUAUAAACCAAUUACCAACCUACUCUCUCAAUUAUUAGCUCAGCUGAUACUGACUAUGGAGCGCUAGCCAACCUUCUGGAAUUCAAUGGCUCAGUUAUCUCAAGUGAUCUUGGUGUUACUUGUAAUUAUAUUACUAUAUGUAAGUGGAAUAGUAACUAAAUAACUAGGUAAUUUGUUCAUAGAAUAAAUUUCAAGUAACUGUAAUUAUAUUUGAUAGUUAUUAGGUCAUUUCUUUACUUGCAGGUUGAUAUUUAAAUUUAGCCUGCAUUUCAUGUUAGUUACAGGUUGGUAGUUAACUUUAGCCUGAAUUUUAUGUCAGAAGAGAAUGUGUAGACUGUAUUAUCUAGUCUGCAACUCUUUCAGUAUGCCGAGGAUCAUUAUAGGAUCAAGGAGAAUUAGUUGAGUGGUUGUUAUUACAGGAUGGGUGUGUACUGUGUAUGUAUGGUUAUUUGAUUAAUCACCAGUAACUACUGUUUUGAUUAAUAUGUCAUAUUGUUCAGUUUUCACUUUUCAGAGUAUGCACAGGUUUUCGUUUUUCAGUAUUCUUCCUUUCUAUCUUCAUUUUUUCACAAGUUCCCAUUCGAUUCUUCCAUGUGUGUUGCUUUCAGAUGCACUUUACACUAAUUUGUUGGCAGAUGUAUGUAAUAAUGUUUCUGUGUGUCCUAAUAAUCGUGUAAGAAGAUCUGUACAUCUCAUGUAGUACUUCUCAUCAACCAUAGUUUCCACCAAAAGUGAUUGUCUUAAAUAAUAUAAGAUGUUGGAUUCUUCGUAUAACAAUUAAAGGUUUUAGAUAGUUUGGUGUAAGAAGAUCAGUACAUCUCAUCACCCAUAGUUUCCGCCAAAAGAUAUUUUGUUAAAUAAUAUAAGAUGUUGGAUUUUUGGUAUAACAAUUUAAAGUUCAAGAUAGUUUGGUUACUUAUCAUGCCCAUUUAUUUACAUUAGUUAUCUGGUUUGUCUAGUACGAUUAGAGGAAAGUGUAAAUUGCUCUAGUAACGUUUUAGAUGGACUGAUUUCUUAGCAAUCUAAAGUUUUUUCCCCUAAUGCCAUAGAAUUUGGUUAAGCCUCACUCAUUUAAUGAAGGGACAAGAACACCCUUUCUCUAAUAGAAUUACAACACCUGAACCAUGGCAUAUUUAUCGAAAUUGAUUUUCUGUUUGUCUGUCGGCUCUGUCUACUGUCUGUUCUCGUAUGAUUAAAAGAGAGUGUUGCUCUAACACCUCUAAGUAGUUUUACAAUGUCAUAGAAGCUGGUUAAGCUUUUUAUAAAGGGACCGGAACACCCUUUGUCCAGUAGAAUUACAACACUCAAACCAAACUUCUACUAACAUAGCAAAAUCCUUGUUUCAAUCAUGCCAUGAUCUCGAAACAGAUCAAACAAGAGUGUUCCUAAUAGUAGCCAUUGUCUUACAUAUUCGCAUGAUAUCUCCUACAACAUUAGUAUGACUGACACAACUGUUGGUCUGUUUCAUCCAGCUUACUUGUAUCCAGAAUGGUUCAAAUCUUUGGCCAGUUCUGCGAUAUCAAGUCAAUAGUUCCGGUCUAAUGACGGGUUACUUUUAAUGUGUAGACCACUUUGAAAAAGCUUGCUUAAUUUUCUGAAACAUGUUGUUCAGGAACAGACCCGAGGAGAGCGAAGAAAUCUAGAAGAAAAUACUACAGUCGCAGGUCAAAAAAUUUCAUGCGAUUGAAACAAGUGGCACUGCAUUUACAUUGCCGUCAUGACUAUUGUGUGUGUGUCUCUGAACAAUUCUAACAGCAAUUAGCUUACGUUUUGUCCGGUCCCGUUGGUGGGGAAAUGAAUAGAAUAAAAUGGAAAGAAAUUACUUUUACUGUGCUCCUUCAUAUUUUGGAGUAAAUUUAUAGAUUUUUCAUGAGAGACUUGAUUUUUGAUUUUGACCCGUCUUCUUAUCCUCGGUUUCUAAAAAACGUUUUAUGUUUCGAAAUAAUUUUCAUUUUGACUUUUUAUAUAUAAUUUAAAAUAUAAAAAAACAUACUUUUAUAUAUUUAAAUAUUCUUUUAUUAAUAAAAAUAUUGAAAAAUGAUAUAUAAAAUUAUGUUAUCUUUUACCCCUCAAAAUAUAUGAAAAAUUAAAUGACUAGUAUUUUGAAAUAAUAAAAAUAAUUAGACCAUUAUUAUGAUGAAUAUAUGAUAUAAUGACUAGUAUCAUGAAUCCUUUCAUUGUAUAUAACUUGUAUCAAUUUUGUGACUCACUUGAAUAAAAAAUUGAGCAUUAAACACAAUUAUUACUUUUUUUGAAACGAGUACUUAUGCUGAAUUUAACUAUUUAAGCGAUACUGUAUAUGUGCAAGUGAAUCAUAUGAAGUAAUCCUAUUUCUUUGUCUCUGUAUGAAAAUACUUAAAUAUUUCUUGUCUCGUGUCAUCAAACUUGAAUAAUUGUGGCUCUACUACUCUAUAUAUUCACUGGGCCCAACACUGUUACAUUGACUCACGAAUUGUUCCAAACUAAAAUUGUAACUCGGUCGGCCCAAUUCUCUUUCCGGUAAUUAUUAGCCUUGGCAACUUGUCAAACAACAAACGAUUUUAUUUUCUUUUUCUGAAAUACAAACAACAAAAGGGUUUAGCCAAAACUAUAGAGUUCUACACUUUAUCAGACAACUUAGAACUUGUGGGUAGUGUACUUAAAGUAGGUAAUAAUUCAAUUGAUUUAUUAAUUUAUUUAAUUUUUGGGAAAUUUGGUUAAUUUUUUAGAUAGGUUAAAUUUACUCAGCCGGGAGUUGGAUUGAUCUUACAAAAAUCAACCUGACUCAUAAAUGUUUAAGAAAUUAGUGAAACAUGUGAAUAAAAGAUUAGAAAUUAAAAAGAUGAAAACUUGAAUAAGAAGAAGAAAAUGAUUCUAAUAUAUAUGAUUUUUAUUUUAAAAUGUCAAAUUGUGAACUAUUUCAACUUGUUCUUUCAAAAUUACAUCAUAUUCAUAAUUAUUAUUUCAAAUAAUCAUGCCAUGUUCUAAAUAUGUUACAUUAGUACAUUACUAAUAUAAUAUAUAAUAUUAAAUUAAUUCCGAGUAAGAAUCCAGUUACUUUCUAGUUAAAGUACUUAAUCUCUAAAUGACGUUGAUCUCGGUUACCAUUUUUCACAAAAAAAAUUCAAAAAGUUAAAAAUUAUAAUUUUGACAGAUCAAAAUUUUAAAAUAAUAUUUUUUUCCUCUAUUUAAAUAUCAAAUAUAGACUUUUCUCAACAAAAAAAUCAUAUCAAAUAUAGAAUGGACAAUUUGUUCAUCGUUAAUAAAUUUAAAUAAAAAAUUAUCGGCUCCGCUUUUGAGUAUAGGUUUUACCCAUAAGAAAGCAUAAGUUAAUUAAGAUGCCCUUUAUGACAACUAUAAUUUAAAAGUAUAAAUUGCAUUUUGACGUAUGUCAAUUAAAAAACGAGACCAGUAUAUAUAUUAGGGGUGUUAACGAAACGAAUUCGAAACGAAUAUUAUAGUUUUUGUAUUUGUAUUCGGUUUAAAUAUACAUAUUCGGAUUUGUAUUCGUUUAUUAUCCGAAUAGUUAUUUGUAUUCGUAUUCGUAUUCGGUUAAGUUCACGAACUAUUCAUAUUCGUUUAAGACACUCAUUUAAAAGAAAAUAAAAAAAAUAACUAAACUGCUGACACGUGACAAAAGUUAUAAACUCCCAUACUUCACCAAUUCAAGCAAACUAUAAAAAAGUCAUCCAACUCAAAUAAUAUAAAAUUCAAAUUACUGAUUGAACAAACCUGGAUAAACCAGAAGGUGUGACAUUUUGUUUCUGAUUUGUCGGUCUGUGCCUAUAACUAGAAGAGCUCCCCUUACCAGUACAUAAUCUUAUUAAAUAAAAAUAUAAUAUUUUUCUAUAUAAUAUAAAAUAUAUAUAUAUAUAUAUAUAUAUAAUUUAAUUUCCGAAUAAUUAAGCGAAUAGCGAAUACGAAUAUUUAUCUAUUCGAAUUUGUAUUCGUUAACAAACCGAAUAUUUUUUAAGAUUUGAAUUCGUAUUUGUAUUUGUUAACAAACGAAUACGAAUAAUGUUAAACGAAUUCGAAUACCGAAUAUUUCAUUAAAUAUUCGUUUCGUUAACAGCCCUAAUAUAUAUGUAAAAGUCUACACCAAGAGACGCAAAAUGCCAAGUAAUUGUUCUAAAUUUUUUAAUGAAGUCUAUGCUUUAACAUGCAUGUAGAAGUUGCAUCUCUAUAUUUAAAUAAAUUGGAGACAUUAAUUUAUAAAAUUUUAUCAAUAUUGUUAGCGAAAACUAGACUUAUGCUAGUUAAAUAAAAUCUUUAAAAGUUAGUAGAGUAGUUCAUACUCCCUCCGUCCCCCUCAAUUGUUUACAUUGGAGGGGGAACACUGAGACCAAGACAAUAUAUGAAAAAUGAGUAAAAUUAGAUCAAAAGUGGUUAAAAUGAUAGGACCUACCAAUAUUUAAUAACAGAUUUGAGAUAGUGGAGGAAAGUAGUGGAUGUAAUAGUAGUUUUUAUUGUUAAAUAUGAGAUAGUAAGAGAAAAUAGUGGGUGUAAUGAUGAGAAAAACUUACUAUUUAUAGUAACGUAAAGAAAUGAGAGGAACAGAAGGAGUAAUCAAUUCAUAAAGUUCCGGCCUCCAGGAUAUCAAACCGGGUCAACAAACACCAGGGUGUAUUAAAAUACUGUACAUUUUCAUUUAUAUUAUUUUGAAACGAAACUGGCCCACUUCAGAUUCAGUUGAGUCGUUAUUGAAAAGGUCAAAUACCCAGGCCUAGAUUGUUCCUUCUGGCGAAAAUCAUUCGAAAUAAAUAUAUACUCCCUCCGUCCCUCCCUCCCGUUUAUUAUCGUUUGGGUUGGGCACGGAAGUUAAGAAAUAUGUAUAAAGUAGUGGAAAGGAGAAGGAAAAGUGGGUGCAGUGGUGGGACCCAUUGAUUUUUAAUGUAUAAAAAGAAGAUAGUGGAGUAAAAGUAAUGUCAAAAGAAAAGAAAAGUGAAAAAGUGGUGGGACCCAUUGAUUAUUUUGGGUAAGUUUUGAAAUAUAAAGAAUUGGAUGGGACCCCAAAAAAGAAAGUGUAAAGAAAUAGAAGGGACGGAGGGAGUACUACUCUAUAACAUGCAUUUUGAUUGCAUACCAAGUUUAGUUUAAAAUCGCGAAUUCACUUAUAAACACCUCUAGUCAACAAAAUCAAACCUUAUACUCUUCCGAGUCAUCUUAUAAUAUUGACAGAACAUAAACAAAUUUAUUAUAAUCAACAAAAUUUUAUAUUCAGGAAUCACAGAUAAAUUUUGCGAUUAAAUUUCCAAAAUUCCGAAAUUAAUUUCGCCCUGAAACCUCCCGGAUCAGCACCGGGAUCUCGCCAGCACCCGAGGUAAAAUAAACUAAUAGCAUGAAAUUUUACGGUACAUGCAUGCAACAUAACACGAUGAAUAAAAAUUGAGAUCCAAAAACCAACGCAAAGCACUAAAUAAAUAAGGAAAUAGCACGAAAUUUACGUGUUUGAAGGAUUAAAAUCAUAAUUCGUCGUAAUAACACCUAGAGAGUCAAGAAAUUCAAACGGCCUUCGUAUUGUAUUGUAUUUUGUCAAGACAAACACCAAAUGCUUCUAGGGUCCGAUCUGAAUCCCGUUAGUAAAACCGUUGAAUUCAAUUCUUUCCUUGAAAUUCGUACUCUCAUUACGAAUCAAGUGCCUACAUUUUUUUUUAAGCUUAUAAAUAGAUGAGUGUAUCAUAAAACAAUCUACAUUUUAACUUCAGCGCACACAAAAUUAGAAACUGUUGUAGCCGUUUUUAGGCUGUGGGGGAGUAGAGGAGGGCGCGCCCUCCACGGCAUGAUCCCGGGAGGCGCGGCCUCCUGUCUUAAGUGUAGGUGUCGCGUGUCUGAAGUACAGGAAGAAAUAAGUAGUGAAGACCCAAGGCGCGCCCUCCGUGGUCGCGCCCACAGGUGAUGAAUAUGUGUGAGGUUGAGUGAGUCUCGACGACGACCCUUCCGAGGGAUACGAAGACCUACCCUUCCGAGGGAUAUGAAGACUAGUGCCAGAGCUCAUCUGGUAGUUAUCAGGCUCAUCUGGUAGUUCCCGGGUUACGUCCGGGCAUGAUCUAUAAUCCCCAGUCCUGCUAUCUGCCGGGUUGUCCUCGUGCGGGGGCCUGGGGUGAUCAUGGUUGUAGAAGGCCCUCAGGGGUAACACGAAGGCCGAUCAUAUGUCCGGGUCCUGUAUUCUGGUGAGUUAGUCCUCAUUGGGGGACUGGGACGAUCGUGUAACUUGGCUCCUCAAGUGUCUUACCUUUUAGUGAGAACCUUCACUAGGGGGUAAGGACGCGUCCCUACGCCUCGUAGAAGUGGUCACGGCUCUAUCCGAUGUCUCCUCCAUGCUACGAAGAGUAGCGGUUAGUGUCAUCUCUCGUAGUGGAGAUGAUGCCGUAUCCGUGAUGUACUUGGACUAGGAGUCUAAGGUAGUUGCCUCAAGGCUUACUUCUAACUGGAGUAGAACUCUAAGUGAUAAGUCACCGGCCCACGGUUGGUCUUAUCCCCAAGAGGCCUAGUCCUGAUCAAACUAGGAGUCUUGGUUCUAUAGAACUACGUACGGCUUGAUCCCCUAUAUAAAGGGGUACGUAGGCACAUCAAGGGGAUAUAUCGAGAGUUGUGAGAACGAGAGCAGAAAUAUAUUCCCUUGAUCUCAGCCACCCUCAAACACCUAAAACCACCGUCCACGGCGGAUCUCCGUCAUAUAAUCACCGUAAAAACACCUAAGUCCGUCAACGAACCUCACGUUUGUUGAUUCACCAAAUUCCUCUAUCAACAAAUUGGCGCUAGAAGGAGGGGAACCAGGUGAAAUCUCAAAGAGGAAGAGAUGGCCAACCACGACGAUGAUUUGUAUGAAGGAGAGUACUACGUUGAAGACGAACCAGUAGAACCGUACUCACCGGUGCACAUUGAAGACCCCCGCACCUUGCCUAACAACCCACCUCCGGUUGUGGUCAGUAAUACGGAGCUUCUUAGUGCCCUUCACCGAAUGGAACAAAAUCAAGCAAGAUACAACACACGGUUGAAUACCCUGGAGUCCGUCCUGGAAGAACUCGCACCCCGACGCCCUCACCAGUCUAGGAGCCAUGAUAGGAGGGGACGCAGACGUUUCAGACGCCCCACACCUCGAAUGUUGGAGUAUGGAGAUGCAACUCCCGGCGCUAAUCAUCCCCAAGGAACAACCGUCAACCACGGGGCUCAUGGUACCCAGGGCGCGCCCUUGACCGUCUCCGUACCACCAACUCAGCCGGGAGGGUCCGGGCAAGGAAGAGGAAAUCAGAACGCGAACGCCCGACCCUUGGCCGAAAGACUUGGGAUCACACCAGAAAGCCUAGCCAUGAUUGUGCAUCUGGCGGGAGAGGAACAGCGAGAACGCCAGGGGACUCAAGGCGCGCCCUCAGAGCAAAGGCGCGACACCGGCGUUGGCAGAACCUACCGGGGAGUAAGAGGUAGAGGCAGAGACCACACAUCAAUCGGAGGAAGAGGUCGCGGACCACCCAUAAUUGAGUACCUCCCCUCGCAAAGCGAGUCUAGCCAGCACACACCAAACCAGUUAGGUCGAAGGAGGUCGCGCCCCCUCAAUGGCAACACAGGCGCAACCCAUCAAACCAAUCCGAACCAGUAGAACCGUACUCACCGGUGCACAUUGAAGACCCCCGCACCUUGCCUAACAAACCACCUCCGGUUGUGGUCAGUAAUACGGAGCUUCUUAGUGCCCUUCACCGAAUGGAACAAAAUCAAGCAAGAUACAACACACGGUUGAAUACCCUGGAGUCCGUCCUGGAAGAACUCGCACCCCGACGCCCUCACCAGUCUAGGAGCCAUGAUAGGAGGGGACGCAGACGUUUCAGACGCCCCACACCUCGAAUGUUGGAGUAUGGAGAUGCAACUCCCGGCGCUAAUCAUCCCCAAGGAACAACCGUCAACCACGGGGCUCAUGGUACCCAGGGCGCGCCCUUGACCGUCUCCAUACCACCAACUCAGCCAGGAGGGUCCGGGCAAGGAAGAGGAAAUCAGAACGCGAACGCCCGACCCUUGGCCGAAAGACUUGGGAUCACACCAGAAAGCCUAGCCAUGAUUGUGCAUCUGGCGGGAGAGGAACAGCGAGAGCGCCAGGGGACUCAAGGCGCGCCCUCAGAGCAAAGGCGCGACACCGGCGUUGGCAGAACCUACCGGGGAGUAAGAGGUAGAGGCAGAGACCACACAUCAAUCGGAGGAAGAGGUCGCGGACCACCCAUAAUUGAGUACCUCCCCUCGCAAAGCGAGUCUAGCCAGCACACACCAAACCAGUUAGGUCGAAGGAGGUCGCGCCCCCUCAAUGGCAACACAGGCGCAACCCAUCAAACCAAUCCUCAACAAACCACACCUAAUGACCAGACAGGCGUGACCAAUCAAACCACUCCUCACGAUCAUACGGGCACAAACCCUCAAGCCAACGCUCAAGGUAAUGCUCAGCAAACUAUUCCUAUCAUCACUAACCCUCAGCAAACAACUCCCAUCACGACCAAUCAACAGGCCACUGGGACCCAACAACAAACACCCACGGGUACGCAGACGACCCUUGCUACGACCGUCGUUCAAACCCCAGGCGGCAACACCAAUACUGUGGCCACACCUAUCACUACCCUAGCUAAUAAUACCGGCACAACGGUUACACCCAUUACUACCCAAACGGCUACGCAAACCAUCCCUGGACUCGGAGCCAUCAACGGAGAAGACCUUAAGAAACUACUUGCCCUCCUACAAGCUGGACAUUCCACCGCUGUACCUAACAUCCCUUCGCCAUUCACCGCUGCGGUCCGUGACGCCCAACUCCCAACAGGGUUCAGACAUGUGAAUGCAGACCUUCGAUACCAUGGCAAUUCGGACCCCCGGGAAUUCUUAAUCAGGUUCAACAUUGAGAUGGACUUGUAUCAAAUUCCAGACCUCGUCAGGUGUAGGUUCCUUGCGGCAAGUCUAAGGGAAAGUGCUCAGCAAUGGUUUCAGAAAUUAGGGGAAGGUGUGAUCUCUUCUUGGGUAGACAUGCAGCGAAUGUUCAUGAUGCAGUUUCAAGCCGCGACCAAAUACGCCCCACCAGUCACCACCUUAGCCAAUGUCAAGCAACGCGAUAACGAAUCUCUAACCGCAUACUUCAAGAGGUUCAACCAGGAGUCUAUGGGGGUUACGGGAGCGUCAGAUGAGACCUUGAAAAAUUUCCUCAUCGCCGGUUUAAAGGUUGGAACCGAUUUCUGGAAGCACCUACAGGGGAAAGACCCGUCUAACCUGUCAGAGCUGUACGCAGCAGCCGAGUCCUUCAAGAAGGUAGAACAGUCACUCGCUGAGAAUCAGAAAGAAAUCGCCAAGUCGCGGGGUAAGAGAAAGGAACAAACACCUAGUCCGGAACCAAAAGGACGUGGACGUUCCCCAGCAAGGGUACACAUGGCUAGUGAUAGAAGGAAUUAGAGUCCCCCGAGACAACCAGGCACGUACACCCCUCUCGUGGCGUCAGCCGAGCACAUCUAUGCGGUAAGCAAAGAUAAGGCCCCUUUUCGGAAGCCGCAGCCUAUUCCCUAUAACGUUGCCAAAGACAAGAAGAAGUACUGUGACUUCCACGAAUCGGCUGGACAUAACACCGCGGACUGUAGACACCUUAAGGAGGAGAUUGAGGAGUUACUCAGGGCAGGUUACUUAACGGAAUGGGUAAAGAAAUAUAGAAUGGAUCACCCACCGGAAAGGCGCGCCCGCGGAAGAUCACCCGAAAAUAAAGAUGAUGAAAAGCAGAGCGACACCCAGUUUGUGAGGGAAGGUAGCAUUAGGAGCAUAUUCGGAGGCCCCUACAUAGGUGGAGGCAGUCGAAAGGCAAUGGAGAGGUACGCCAAGGAGGCAAGGGACUACCCCCUUACCAACGUAAACCAUUUAUCAGCCAGGGCCCCGAGAGUCUUCAAAGGAGAAACUAUGGACAUCACUUUCACAGAGGACGAAGCUAGAUGGGCACACCAUCCCCACAACGAUGCCCUGGUGGUCGCCAUGCGCAUCGCCACUAUGAACGUUCACCGGGUAUUCGUGGAUAAUGGAAGUUCGGUUAACAUCCUCUACUACGACACUUACAAGAAGAUGGGACUACCAGAUAAAGACAUGACAGUAGAGAACCUCUACAUCUAUGGCUUCGGAGGAGAGGCCAUCAAGGCUAAAGGAACCAUCCGCCUACCUGUGACAUUGGGAGAAGCGCCACGGGCGACCACACAGAUAUCUGAGUUCGUAAUCAUCGACCACCCGUCAGCUCAUAAUGCACUAAUGGGGCGCCCUCUCUUGAAAGACAUGAGGAUAGUUACCUCCAUCUAUCAUCUCACUUUGAAGUUUCCUACUCCUGGAGGGGUUGGGUGCGUAAAGGGAUCUCAGUACGAGUCUCGCGACUGCUAUGGCCGAUCGCUCAAAAAUUUUCAGGAGAAGAGAGGAGUGAGACCCCAUGAGGAACUCCAUUCAGUCCACGCUAUCUACUUUAUCCAAUACCCGGAAAGUGAUACGGAGGGCGCGCCCUCACCCUUACCAUCCGAAGAACACAUCCACUUCGAGGAUAAACUACCCCUCACACAUGAGUCAAAGGUGGGAGAAUGUAAAGAGCGAGUCGGGGAGGCAGGGGUCCCCCCCCCCCCCGCCAAAAUCCGGAAGAUAGACAAGGCAGAGGUAGUGAUGGAACUAGAUGACCCCGUACCAAUUAAAGGAACACCCGAGCAUACAUCCCCAGAACACAAGGCAAACCCCCAACAAUUUGAUUUUGAUCUAGACCCUAGGUUGCCUAUGCCCAUGGGCACGUACACCCCCCUCGUGGCGUCAGCCGAGCACAUCUAUGCGGUAAGCAAAGAUAAGGCCAUGCAGAACACGGGACCAGCUGAGGACACAGUCGAGAUACAGGUUACACCGGGGAGUGACGACAAGGUCCUCAAAAUAGGGUCGAAACUAAGUUCUGAGGUAAGGACCAAGCUGACAGAGUUCCUAAAGGCCAACCUUGAUGUGUUCGCUUGGAGUCAUGAAGACAUGAUCGGGAUUGAUCCGGCUGUUAUGUGUCACCAUCUCAACAUCGACCCCACCAAAAAAGGUAUUAGACAGAAGCGUAGACCAAUAAGUGGGGAAAGAGCUGAGGCCCUCCAGGAAGAGGUAGACCGUCUCAUGAAAGCGGGACUAGUAAAAGAGUCGUUCUACCCAACAUGGCUAGCAAACCCUGUGCUGGUGAAAAAACCCAACGGGAAGUGGCGUACCUGCAUAGACUUCACAGACCUUAACAAGGCGUGUCCUAAAGAUAGCUUCCCACUGCCUAGGAUCGAUCAGCUGGUAGACUCAACGGCCGGCCACGCUCUCCUUAGUUUCAUGGAUGCAUACUCGGGUUACAACCAGAUCCCCAUGUACGAGCCUGACCAGGAGCACACCUCAUUUAUCACGGACAGAGGUCUAUAUUGUUAUAUUGGCAUGCCAUUUGGACUCAUUAACGCAGGCGCGACUUACCAAAGGCUCGUAAACAUGAUGUUCAAGGAUCAAAUCGGAAAGACCAUGGAGGUGUACGUUGAUGACAUGUUGGUAAAAUCCAAGAAAGCCAAUGAUCAUGUGUCCCACUUAUCUGACAUGUUCGAAAUCCUAAGGAAGUACAGGAUGAAGCUCAACCCUCAAAAGUGUGUCUUCGGAGUGGAGUCAGGGAAGUUUCUUGGUUUUAUGGUGAACCACAGAGGUAUUGAGGCCAAUCCUGCGAAAAUCAAAGCUUUGUUAGAGAUGAAGUCUCCAACCAAUAUCAAACAGGUCCAAAGCCUAACCGGAAGGAUCGCCGCUUUGAACAGGUUUGUAUCAAAGUCUUCCGAAAAAUGCAAAGAGUUCUUCAAGGCCGUGAAGGGUGCAUCCAAGGAUUUUGAAUGGACGGUAGAAUGUGAAAGCGCUUUCGUGAAAAUCAAAAAACACUUGGGCGAGCCACCCCUCUUAGCCAAACCAGAUGAAGGUGAGACACUCGUACUCUACCUAGCUGUCUCAGACUACUCCAUCAGUGCCGUUUUGGUGAAGGAGGACGCAGAUGGUCAGUCCCCAGUCUAUUAUGUAAGUAAAAGGUUGUUGGACGCAGAGACUCGCUACACAAGUAUGGAAAAGUUGGUGUAUGCUUUGGUACACGCAUCCCGAAAACUACGACCCUACUUCCAAGCGCAUAAGGUGGAAGUACGGACCGCGUACCCCCUUCGUCAAAUCAUGCACAAACCAGAGGUAACAGGCAGGAUGAUGAAGUGGGCGAUUGAAUUAGGAAAAUUCGACAUUGACUACAGCCCGCGUACCGCCAUCAAAGGUCAAGCCCUGGCGGAUUACAUUUUAGAGUUUCCGGAAGAUGGAGAGAACUCUGGCCUACUAAUCAAAUAUGACCCAGACCUACCCCCACAACCGGACGCCCCGAAAGAAGAUAUCCCCGAACUAUGGUGGACGGUGCACACCGACGGCGCUGUGAAUAAUGACGGAGCAGGUGCUGGCAUAGUAUUGGUAAGCCCCGAGGGACACAGGCUCUUGAACGCAAUCCACUUCACCUUCCAACUAUCUAAUAACGACGCAGAAUAUGAGGCAUUAGUGGGAGGCUUAAAGCUAGCCCUCGAGAUGAAAGUCAGAAGACUUGUGGUGAAGCUUGACUCAAUGCUGGUGGUAGAGCAUAUAAAAGGGGGGUACCAAGCCAAGGGGCCCAAGACAGCUAUGUACCUCCAAUGCGUCCAGAGGUUGCUAGACCAAUUUGAGGAAGUGCAAGUCAACAAGGUACCUAGAGAGUUCAACGGAGACGCCGACGCCUUGGCGAAAUUGGGAUCUCAAAAAGAAGCUUCCUUGUUGGGGGUGAUUCGGUUGGAAGUCCAAGAGGUGCCUAGCAUCCCGGAACUAAAUGUCAUGGAGGUAGGAGACGGCGUCAAGCAUCAAACAUGGAUGACACCGAUAUGGGAUUUCAUUAAGGAAGGAAAGCUACCCGAAGACAAAGCCGAAGCACGGAGGCUGAGAUAUAAGGCAGCCAGGUAUGUCGAGUAUGACGGCAAACUAUAUAAGAGGGGCUUCAACCAGCCAUUGUUGAAGUGUAUAGACGGUGAUGAGUGCACCUAUGUACUGAGAGAGGUCCAUGAAGGCAUAUGUGGGAACCACUCGGGAGGUAACUCAUUAGCUAUGAAGGUUCUAAGGCAAGGAUACUACUGGCCUACCCUAAGGAGUGACGCCUUCGAUUUCGCCAGAGCGUGUGAUAAGUGCCAACGGUUUGCCAACUUCACCCAUAACCCAGCAACAUCCUUGACCAGCAUGACCAGUCCUUGGCCUUUUGCCAUGUGGGGGAUAGACUUGAUUGGGGAACUCCCUAAAGCCAAGGGAGGUGUGAAGUACGCGGUGGUAGCUGUGGAUUACUUUACCAAGUGGGCGGGCAAGUCAACAAGGUACCUAGAGAGUUCAACGGAGACGCCGACGCCUUGGCGAAAUUGGGAUCUCAAAAAGAAGCUUCCUUGUUGGGGGUGAUUCGGUUGGAAGUCCAAGAGGUGCCUAGCAUCCCGGAACUAAAUGUCAUGGAGGUAGGAGACGGCGUCAAGCAUCAAACAUGGAUGACACCGAUAUGGGAUUUCAUUAAGGAAGGAAAGCUACCCGAAGACAAAGCCGAAGCACGGAGGCUGAGAUAUAAGGCAGCCAGGUAUGUCGAGUAUGACGGCAAACUAUAUAAGAGGGGCUUCAACCAGCCAUUGUUGAAGUGUAUAGACGGUGAUGAGUGCACCUAUGUACUGAGAGAGGUCCAUGAAGGCAUAUGUGGGAACCACUCGGGAGGUAACUCAUUAGCUAUGAAGGUUCUAAGGCAAGGAUACUACUGGCCUACCCUAAGGAGUGACGCCUUCGAUUUCGCCAGAGCGUGUGAUAAGUGCCAACGGUUUGCCAACUUCACCCAUAACCCAGCAACAUCCUUGACCAGCAUGACCAGUCCUUGGCCUUUUGCCAUGUGGGGGAUAGACUUGAUUGGGGAACUCCCUAAAGCCAAGGGAGGUGUGAAGUACGCGGUGGUAGCUGUGGAUUACUUUACCAAGUGGGCGGAGGCCGCGCCCUUAGCCACCAUCACAGCCAAAAAGAUUAAGGAUUUUGUUUUUAACUCUAUUGUUUGCAGGUUUGGAAUCCCUUACAAGCUGAUCUCGGACAACGGAAAGCAAUUCGACAGCAAGGAAUUGAGAGGCCUCUGUGAUGACCUCGGAAUCAAGAAGGAUUUUGCAGCGGUAUACCAUCCCCAGAGCAAUGGGCAGACGGAGGCGGUGAAUAAAAUCAUCAAACACACCUUGAAGACUAAGCUGGAAGAUAGCAAGGGAAGCUGGCCGGAGGAACUCCCCAUGGUGCUAUGGUCUUACAACACGACUCCUAGGACUACGACUGGGGAGUCGCCAUUUGUGUUGACCUACGGAUGUGAAGCCAUGGUUCCAAUAGAGGUCGGAGCUGGGUCGUUCAGGCGAGAUUACUUUGAGAAACAGGACAACGAUGUCAACCAAAGACUCUACUUGGAUAUGAUUGAAGAGAUCAGAGCUACCUCGCAGAUACGAUUAGCUGCAUACCAGCAACGAACAGCGAGGUAUUACAACAACAAAGUGAAGGCUCACCCAUUCCAAGUAGGAGACCUCGUCCUCAGAAAAGUUGUGCUCAACAAUAAGAACCCCUUGCAUGGGGUCUUCGGUGCCAACUGGGAAGGUCCCUACAGGGUGAAGGUGAUACUAUGGAAGGGAUCCUAUAGACUGGAAGACUUAGCCGGGAAGCCUGUUCCGCGCCCCUGGAAUACGGAACACCUGAAGAAAUACUAUCAGUAGACAAAGGCUGCAUAGACUAGCCAUGACACUAAUGUCAUCCCUAGUCUAGGGGAGUGGUGAUGCAUAUAUGCUCUCUCCUAGCAGAGGUUUUUUGCUAGUCUUUUUAUGUCCCCUUGGGGUUAACAGCUCCCUGGGACGGGUGCGGUUUCGUACUCGAGCGCAUUAUCUCUAUCGUAUGUAGGUAUGGGCCCGAGGCCAUGGCAUGUUUUAACUAUCUUAAUAAAGGCCUAGAGCCACUCUAUUUCCACAAAAAGAUUGUGUCGAAUGAUUGUUUCUGAACAACUGUGAUUAGAACGGCUCCGGAGCCGCGCCCUGGCCCUAAAAUAUUCUAAGGCAGGAGAAGGGCGCGCCGGUAGAAUACUAACAAAAGAAUUUAAGAAUGAUAGAAAUAUUCUGAAGCAGGGAGGCGCCCCUGAUAAAGGGAAGGCCGCGCCCCUUCUAACAAAAGACAUGCUUAAUCCCAUAUCCAAAGGCGAUAGGCAUAAUUCAGAGUGAUAGCCAUGAAUAAACGGUAAAGACAAGACACAUUUGCAAUGACAGUUUCACAAAGCCACAGUAAAGAUACUGUUUAAAAGACCUUAGGGCGCGCCCUAAGCGAUAGCGCCCCCGCUAUAGGCAUAAUGGUACAAACCAUGAGAAACAUGCUAAGGCAUGCGGAGGCCGCGCCCCCAACAAGAUGAAGGUCGCGCCCUAGCCUAAGGCUGGACUUAAAGAAAGCUAUAAGCCUGUGAUUUCGAGCAAGAAACAAUGUCUUCGCCACAUGAAAUGGUGCAGUAAGAUCACAUAGCUAAGUUAAUAGCAACAACAGGCAUUACUGAGAGACACUAACAACAUCAUCAAGACAAUUAGAUAAAUUAAUAGCCAACCGGAGGGCGCGCCCCCCGGAUUAAUUCUGAAUGUCACAGAUGAAAAUUUGUUUAAGUACAAUUUGCAAGGCAUCAAAAGAGGGCCUGCUCCUCAGUGUACGUCCAGGGUUUAAAGGGAUAAAGCAAAAUUAACUUAAGAAGCUUGGUUGUCAACAGUGUCCUUGGUCACAUUGUCCUGAGGGCGCGCCUGUUCCUCAGCCUCCCUAUGGGCAGAAGCUUCUUUUGCCAAGGUUUCCUCGAUAAGAACCUUCUUAGCAUCAAUGAGGGCUGGUUGUUCGACCUUGAAUUCUUCUACCCAUUUUGCCAUCUCGGAACCAAAGUGGGAGCCCCAGUCAAAAGAGGGCGCGCCAGCAACGAAGGUGGCCACAUAAUUGUUAACCCCAUCGUCGAAGGCCGCGCCCUCGAUCUUUGUGACUUCCGCAGCUGUAAGUGAGGCCUGGUUGUCCUUGAGUUCCUGGUUGGCAGCAGCUAAGUCCUCAUUUAACUUCUUUAAGUUCUCAACCUCUCUUUGAAGAGGCUCAAGGCACGCCCUUUCCUCUUUCAACGACCUCUGACAACUCCUCCAUCCAUCCUGCGCCUUCUUCAGAUCCUCCCUUUGAGACUUGAAAUCCUCCUUCAAUUUGGAGAGGUUCUCCUCGGCCUUCUUCAGGGAGGCCGCGUCCUCUAGUCGACGUUCCUCCCUGUCGUGGAGAUGAACGAGGAACUCGGCCGCGCCCUUGAGCAAAAAAGUGUCCUUUUCCUCCUGAGGUUUGGCCCUCCAUUGGUCAAGCUCCUUUUCAUCGACAUAGGUAUCACCUAUGUCGGCGAAAAGGCGCGCCGAUUUGCCCAUGGAGGGCGCGCCCUUGGUUAACUGCCUCUUCCUUUUGGCAGGUUGUUGCUCAGUAGUGGGAGCUUCUGGGAUGUCAGGAAUUGUCCGAGUUAGGGCAGAAGCCGCGCCCUUAUCUGGAAGUUGCUUGGAGCCAGAGGCCGCGGCCCUGUCUGGCUGGUGGGUAGCGGCACCUUUCUUACCAAUGAAGCUUGGACGAGGCAUAUCUGCACAAGUGAAACCAAGGAAAAAGGGGUUAGGAGUUGGAGAAAUCAGUCAAUAUUAAAGGACACAACCCCGGUAGAAAGGCCGCGCCCUCUUCCACUAAAAAAGAAAAAAAAUCAUCACAAUAUACAUACAAUUGCAUGUUUAAACGACAUGUAGGAGAAAUAAUGCAAGUGGAAAAAUGCAUGAUGAAUAAAAGAUAAGUGGCAAGGGCGCGCCCUUGCGUGUCAAACGCAGCCUUGAAUAUAAAGCAUGGCACAUACCAGCAAUCAGGGGAGUAUAAAUGAGAGUGUAAUGUAGAGGAAAAGGGAAUAAGUUGAAGGCGCGCCCAUAUGACUGGGCGCGCCGUCGCCUUACCAUCUUCAUUGUCACCCUCCGAGUCGCUGGACUCAGCCCUCUUUCUCUUGGUGCCCUUCAAUUUUUCGCCCACAGGGCGUCCAUCAAUGAAUCUCUUCCAUCCUACUUUCGUCCCAACCUCCUCUGGUAGUAGCUUAACCUUGAUCAGGUUCUGCUCGGUAACCACAGAGGGAAGGUUCCUCUCAGCAAGUGGAAGGUUGAAUACCUUGGCCACACGCUCAGCUUCCUUUGCUGUAAGAGUCGGUUUAUCGUGAUAAACUGAAGAAGGAGGGUGGAGAAGUAAGGAUCUUGGAGUAAAAAGAAGAAGGGUCGCGCCCUCACCUGAAGGGCGCGCCCUUAUAAGAUUAAGAAAGAGGGUGGCAUACCUGGUUCUGGGUUAAACUGGGUGGUGACCCGGGUAGUGUUGUAAAUGUAGAAGAAUGUGUCUUUCCACUUCUUUACGUGUGUAUUCCUACCCUCAGAGAAACCUUUUCUGUUGUGCUCGUGCUGCACCACAAGGUAAAAGUAUCCUGGUUGACUUUGAGCCAACCUGAAGAAAUAGCUCACCUCCCUCAUGGAGGGCGCGCCCAAACCCACUUUAUCGAAAAGAAUAUAAAGUCCGGCGGCCAACAUGUAAGAGUUAGGCGAGAGUUGGAUGGGCGCGACCUGGAACCAAUCACACAGGUCGACAUAGUAUGAUGGCAAGGGCGCGGUCACACCCAAGGGUACGUGCCUAAGGGUGGUGACCAUUCUUGGUAUUCGAAUAUUUUCUUUAUCAAAUCUAUGGGGUCGCAUCCCAUCUUUGGGGACAACAGCUUUCCCCUCCAUAUGAUAAUAGGCUUGCAGCCACUCUAGCUCAUCCCAGGAAAUGAAGGAGUCCUGGUCUACACAGGCCAGUUUGCCUGCUCUUCUCUUGAUGGCUUCCACAGCCCUAGGAGACAAGGUGUCAUUGUCAGGAAGGGUGUCCCACUCAAUAUCUUCUUCCCAUGACUCUAUCUUGGGAUGUUCAUAGGGCUCUGGAGAACUGUCAGGGGAGGUGAUUGUGACUAGGCCCCUCUUCAGGCGCGCCUUCGGAUUCUGAAGAGCUUUCUUGACAAAGGGGAGAGUUAGGAGGAGUGUCGUCAAUAGCAAUCCUUUUCCCUUUGUCAGGUUUAGAAGGCGCGGCUUCAGUCAUCCUGGAGGGCGCGGCCUCCGUUGCGUUGUCAGCCUUGGUGUGUGGAGGGCCAUCAUCAAACCAUGACUCGAUUUCGGAAUCGUAGUCCGCAGGGCGCGCCCAAUGGCUGGAUGGCUGGGCCUGAGUAGUGUCUUGAGGCUGAGGCGAAGAGGAAUCCAUGUCUGAAAUGAAAGUGCCCUCCGCUAUUUGUUUGUUGAUUCUCUCUAAGAGCUCUUGUGGAACCCUUUGAGGGCUUCUGGGAGGAGAAGGAGGAAAGACCUCAGGAGGGGAAACUGAUAUCCCGAUGCGGCUGAGGAAAUCUCGAAAGGGAUGAAAAGGAGGAGACGCGCCCUCGUCUGCCAGCUUAAAAGAAAAAAGUGAAGAAGGUGUGAGGGCGCGCCCAUGGAGAAGAAUAUGAGGGGAUAAAAGAGAAAAGAGAUAAGUGAAGAUGGGAGGUUCAAAAGAAUAGAAGGACGCGACCUAGUCGGGCAGGGCGCGCCCUCUAUGCAUUAUGACUAGCGGAUGAGAGAGUGGUGGUCUAGUGUGGCUUUCACUAUAGUUCGUAAGCGCGCCCUCGAAGGAGGCCGCGCCCUUGGGCACUUAAGCCAUUAUUCGACAAACAGAAUACACUAUAUUAUUAAUUGCAAUUUUAGAUCAAACGCGAAGCAAGUUAAUAUACAGAUAUACAUAUACAUAUAUGUUGACAGCAAGAACAUGAAGAACAGCGGGAAGACGAAAGGACAUGGUGCUAGAUCUAGUAAAAUUCAUGGUGGGAUCUUGCAAAAGAAUAACGAAAAUGUACCUUAGGAGUUGGGGAGUCGAUUUGUUGGACCGAAAUCGCCGGAAAAUUGCCGGAAGAUGGAGUUCUGGUGCCGGAAAUUUGAAAUCGCCGCCUGAGAGAGAGAGUGUAUGGAAAUGAUGAAAUGGAGACGAAGAAGGAGUAUUUAUAGUAGGAGGUUGGAUGUGACAGCUGUCCUCUUGUAACGGUUGUGGCUUUUCAAAUUCAGAAGGGGGAGGUCGCGCCGGUCACGAAAGGCGCGCCCUCUGUUAAGGAUGAGGGAUGCUCUGUGAAGAUUUCCUAGACAUUUGCAAUAUCUACCAAAUCUGGGGAGUACUUGUUGUAGCCGUUUUUAGGCUGUGGGGGAGUAGAGGAGGGCGCGCCCUCCACGGCAUGAUCCCGGGAGGCGCGGCCUCCUGUCUUAAGUGUAGGUGUCGCGUGUCUGAAGUACAGGAAGAAAUAAGUAGUGAAGACCCAAGGCGCGCCCUCCGUGGUCGCGCCCACAGGUGAUGAAUAUGUGUGAGGUUGAGUGAGUCUCGACGACGACCCUUCCGAGGGAUACGAAGACCUACCCUUCCGAGGGAUAUGAAGACUAGUGCCAGAGCUCAUCUGGUAGUUAUCAGGCUCAUCUGGUAGUUCCCGGGUUACGUCCGGGCAUGAUCUAUAAUCCCCAGUCCUGCUAUCUGCCGGGUUGUCCUCGUGCGGGGGCCUGGGGUGAUCAUGGUUGUAGAAGGCCCUCAGGGGUAACACGAAGGCCGAUCAUAUGUCCGGGUCCUGUAUUCUGGUGAGUUAGUCCUCAUUGGGGGACUGGGACGAUCGUGUAACUUGGCUCCUCAAUUGUCUUAUCUCUUAGUGAGAACCUUCACUAGGGGGUAAGGACGCGUCCCUACGCCUCAUGGAAGUGGUCACGACUCUGUCCGAUGUCUCCUCCAUGUUACGAAGAGUAGCGGUUAGUGUCAUCUCUCGUAGUGGAGGUGAUGCCGUAUCCGUGAUGUACUUGGAUUAGGAUUCUAAGGUAGUUGUCUCAAGGCUUACUUCUAACUGGAGUAGAACUCUAAGUGAUAAGUCUCCGACCCAUGGUUGGUCUUAUCCCCAAGAGGCCUAGUCCUGAUCAAACUAGGAGUCUUGGUUCUAUAGAACUACGUACGGCUUGAUCCCCUAUAUAAAGGGGUACGUAGGCACAUCAAGGGGAUAUAUCGAGAGUUGUGAGAACGAGAGCAGAAAUAUAUUCCCUUGAUCUCAGCCACCCUCAAACACCUAAAACCACCGUCCACGGCGGAUCUCCGUCAUAUAAUCACCGUAAAACACCUAAGUCCGUCAACGAACCUCACGUUUGUUGAUUCACCAAAUUCCUCUAUCAACAGAAACAAAACACAACUUAUCUUUAACUGCCAAACCUAGGUUUUUUAAGCCAUGCAACAUUAUUCAUCAUCAACUUGUAAGAACAUUUGUAACCGAAUUCUCCACCACCGUAACCAACUCCGGCCGACCAUAGGUGGACCAUCAUCGCCGUGUGACAUCUUCAUCAGCCACCGCGGCAUCGACACGAAAGAUAAUGUGGCCGGAUUGUUGUACGAUCAUCUCUCAAGGCUAGGGUUUCGGCCUUUCUUGGAUAGCAAGAAUAUGAAGCCGGGUGAUAAACUGUUUGAUAAAAUUGACACUGCUGUACGACAGUGUAAGCUUGGGAUAUCUGUUUUAUCGCCGCGGUACUGCGAUUCGUAUUUUUGCUUGCAUGAAUUGUCACUGAUUAUGGAGUCGAACAAAAAAUUUAUUCCGAUUUUUGUUGACGUAAAGCCCUCGGAGCUUCGUGUCAGGGAUAACGGGUGUUGCACCGCCGAAAAUCUGAAAAGGUUUUCUUGGGCUCUUCAGGAGGCCAAGUACACUGUUGGCUUAACUUUCAAUACAUCUAAAGGGUAAGUGCAUAAAUCAUUAUAUGUAAUUCUACAUAUAUAAUUACAAAUUUUUGUUUCAUAAUUUAAAAGAAAAUUGAAUAAUGUUCGAUUAAUGCAUAGAGUUUUGUGAUGUAUGUUGAUGUUGAUAAUGCAGUAACUGGUCCGAGUUUCUGAUGGAUGCGUCUGACGCGGUGAUGAAGAAUUUGCUGGAAGUAAAAGAUUGAUAUAGCUGGUGAAUUGCAAUACUUUAUUUAAUGACUUGCAAAAAUUGCAAGGGGAUCUACAAAUUUACUGAUUCUUUUAACUUAUAAAUUCUCUAAAUGUUUGUUCAUUCAUUUUCUUAUCAUCACUUGUAUUUAUCUUUCUUCGGUAACCUAAUAAGACCAUUUACUCGUAUUAGAUCAGGUCAUUUUAUUGUAUGCUUGUAAAUGCUGUACCUAGAACCGAACCGAGCGAGCGAGAGGCUAGCUAGCUGCUGAAAUCUCAGUUGGCUCAGAAAAUCUUUUUUUUAUAUAUUUCAAUAAUGUUUUCAGUUUUCUCUUAUAAUAAUAAGAUAUAACAUAUUUAUUCAUACGAUCUCUGACUGAUUUAAAACAAUCAGUUUAUAAUCAUAAUCGAUUUUAAACUCAGGUCAUUUUGAUUUCUGAUUAUGUUCCCGUGAUUAAAAACUUUGGGCAGUAUUAAAGACGUUCUUGGAUUUAAUCAAUCAUGUACGUAUAUGUGAUUGAUGCAAAUGUGUGUCUGAACUCUGAAUAUACAAAUUUCUUCAAAUCGACUUCACUGAAAUAUACUCCCUCCGUCCCCUGAGUAGUAUACAUUGGGGACGGGUACGCACGGACUUUAAUGCUCCUGUAAAGUAUAGUUGUGUAAUUUAUUUUUAAAAUUUUCUUUUUCUAAAUUAUAGUUUGGAUGUUAUAUUUUUAUUCAGAAAAAAAAAAUCUCAAAAAUAAGUUAUGGAACUAUAUUUUAUAAGAGCAUUGAAAUACGUGUCGAGCAGUUGAAAAGAAACGUAUACAAUUAAAUGGUACAGAAUAAGUAAUCAGAACCUCUUAGCACCGCCACGAUUUUUAAAGGAGGCAGACAAAAUUCAUGCGCAUAUAGCCAUAUACUACAUAGUAUAGCAUUGGAUGUGUUUGACCAUUCUAUUAAACAUGUUCCAAGUAAAAAUAAUAUAAUGUUUUAGAAAAUGAUAAUGGGGAUUAUUUGGUGAAGAAACCAUACGAUAGAGGAAUUUAUAUAAUGAUUAAUCGGUUAUGGGUUAACUAGAGUAUGUGGCGGUAUAAUGCAAAUUAUUUUUUGAUUUUUUUUUAAAAAUCACGGCACGCUUGUUUUAGUUAGAUUAGUCUAGAUUUGUUCCGUUAACCGAAUGCAAGUAAUUCAUCAUUUGAAAUUUGGAACCCCGCACUAAUAGAGAAUAUUUUCCCAUAAAAAAAAUUAUAUCAUUAUUAUGAUAUUUGAUUCAAUUAUCUGAAAAUCUUCAUUUGAUCAAGAUAUAUCUACCAAUGGACUAAUCCUGAUACAACAUUGAAAAAAAUUUACAUCACACUUUCUAAGUUAUUAAUUAUCCAUUAUGUGAAUUAUCAUAAGAUUAGGAUUGAAAAUUCCUGCAUAUUUCAAUAUAUAUAUNNNNNNNNNNNNAUAUAUAUAUAUAUAUCAUAAGCUAACCGAAGUUGUUACAAGAGCAAUUUAUCGUAUAAUAGCCAAUCUACAUGCAAGAUAUGUGUCUGUAUUUUACAUGUUGUAUGCAACCUUAUAUAAUCUUGCAAUAGUGAUUGUUUUAACUAACUGAAAUUUUAUUUUAUAUAAAAUGAAUGAGUACAAAAAGUUUAUACAGUACACAUUUGACGUUAUUCUUCGUCCCGUUCAUUUUUUUUAACACUUUUUUUUAUAAUAUCUCACUUCUUUACAAAACUAAAAUAAUUAAAUAUCUUUCAUAUUAUUAAUAUUAAUAGGUCCUGUCAUCUUAAAACCCACCAUUUCUAAGUGGUUAUUAUCUUAGUUUAAUAAUUUGCUUAAAUUCCAAGCCAACAACAUUAUUAAAAAAUUAUUGAAAAGAAGAGAGUUCAUAAGAAUAUUAAAAUAUUUAAUAUACCAUCGUACUGUAUCAUAAUCACGAAUGCAAUAUAUUUUUCAAAUUUGUAAGUAUAUGUAUCUACUUUUCUAACAUUCACGUGUUUAACUAGAUAGAAAGAGAACUAAUUUAGUACAGUAAUAUGAAAUAGGAACCUGCUGAAAAAUUAAAUGUGGUAUUUGUGUUUACAUGGCGAACUUGGGUAGACAUUUGAAUCUUCUUUUGAAUCGACAAGAUCGGAGGGAACAUGGGUGUUUCAUUUGUUUUGGUGUUUGCAAAAAUAGCAAAAACAGGUCCCACCGAGACUUGAACUCGGGUUACUGGAUUCAGAGUCCAAUGUCCUGACCACUAGACCAUGGGACCAUUUGCGCCACUUCAGGACAAGAAGAGCUUUUGAGACUAUUUCAACCCAGAUGAGGACAAACACAGUUGAACUAUAAACCACAGCAUUGUCAGUACGAUGCUAAAAUGAGAAGCAAGUCCUUUUUACAAGCAAUACUUAGUGACUACAAAACAACAUUUUACCAUAUACAUGCCUAAAGAAUGAACAAAUUUCAUAUCACAUUUUAUAAAAGUUAAAAAAAAAAAAACAGAGAUGCGCAUUCAGCAGGCAAAAGCAAGUUUAAGAGGUCUGCAGUUUGCAACAUUGGGGUAUUGUUCAUAAAGUUUGUUUGGUUACUCUUUUUGUUUGCAUAAUUAAGUACUGCAUUUGAAACAACUCGAUAUAAUGCAAUUAAUUCCUCACCGUGGUAGGAAUUAACGUCAGAGCUAUGUACAUUCACACAGUUAUUAAUGAAUGGUUGGCACACAAAUCACCUGAGCUCACCUGCACUGCAGCUCGGAAGAACCUCUCAUCUUUUAUCGCAAGUCUCACACUGCCUACAUCAAUGUGAUUGUGGGGCUUAAAAGAUGUUGAAAUUCAUGAUGUAAUAUUCAGCUCAACAGUUGUUGGCAAGUGAUGCCGGUGUGCAGGUUCACUCAACUCUUCAAGAAUACGUAUAUUGGGUCAUCAUUAACAUGAGAUCCCUGUACCAGUUACUAGAUGCAAGAUGUACGUCAUGUAUUUCAUCCUGGGUGAUCACCUGGGCGUUGCACCCAGCUGAUCCAACCUACCAGUAAAAUUCUCAGACCCUUAACCUUAUCAGCAAUGUUGCAUAAUUUCAUGUCAGCCAUGUCUAUAGAAGAACCAUAUGCAGUGCCAAGAAUAUUUUUCUCAGAGAAUUCAGUAAAGUAUGCACUUUGUGAGAAUAAUGCAGCAUUCAUACGUGGUGCUCCUAGAAAUUGUGAGCAAUUGACUGCCAAAUCAGCCCAUGAAGCUGGAAUAAUAUCAGGGUUCUCUGUAGAAAAGUUGCAAUUCAGACCUGACACAUCAGGAAACCUCACUUAAACCACAAAAUGAUGUUGUAACAAAUUACAGAAUGAAUUAAGGAGUAAUAGAAAAGAUUAAUACUGAAAAGAGGUGAAUAAGACAUUUUCAAGAUGUGCAUUAAGGGCCAUACUUAAAUCAUAUUAGCGUGCCUUUAAAAUCAGAAUUCAUUGUAAAAUACCCAAAAGCAGAAUUUAAUGGAUUACGAUUACCUUGAACCAAAUAUUAAUAUCUUGGCGAAAAUUCACCAAAAUAGGCUCUGAGUGUUCCAGUCUACAUGACUUCCAGAUAGGCUAAACAUGGGAGGAUCAUUUUGUGAAGAAUAAUACUGAUUUUCACCUUCAGAUAAUAUGACAGACUUCAGGCCAGAGUUUAAGAACUUUCUGAACUCCCAGCCCUAGUAUCCGAAACUUUUGAUGAGUUGUAUGAAUACAGAUAUGUAACAGAUCCUGGUCCAUCAAGCUCGUGUGAAGGAGGCAAAUCCAACUUCGGUAAUCCUGAUACCAGUCCCGGAAACAAGCCUUAAAAGGAGAACACAUUAUAGUUCACAAUUCAGCCUCGUGAAAUUUUGCAACAUAAUUAAUCAUAGAAGUGAGCAUAAGAAACCAUAAUCACUGACAUUACUCCAACAAACCACAUAACACUGGAAGCAGACUCACCUUGAAGCACAAUUGUAAGGGAUCGUUUGGUUGGUUGGCAUCGGGAAUGAACCUGUGUAGGUUGUGUUUUUUAUUUUUUUAUUUUUAUAACCUAUAACUUAAAACCACAAGGGUAUGGGUUUUUGAUACUCAAGGGGGAGGGUGUGUUUAAGAAUGUGAUAUCAUUAAUAUUUCGUACUAAUAUAUAACAUAAUACAAAAAAGUAAAAUUUUUACAUGAACAAACACUAAUAAUAAGAAUACAAACCUGAUCUCAAACACAUACCUGAUACCACUCUACUAAUGAUAAUACAUAAUAUUAUAUAACAAAUUAAUUUAACUAUUAACUCAGUAAUAGUUUUGCUCGAAAGAUUCAUUUCAACACUAUACCACACAGAUUAUAUCAAAAAUGGAGUUUCACUCUGGUACCUCCUGACCCGAUAUGUGAUUCAAAAAACAUACCACUUUACAAACCAAACCCCGUUUUGGUAAAUUCUCAUGGAAGAUAAAAAUAUUCAAGCAUCUAAGGAAAGAAUGAUAUAUACAAAAGAUGUGGGCAAAUGAGAAAGAUGUAGAGUAAUGCAGAAAUCAACUCAAAAACUUCUACAACCUAAUCUAAUUUAUUUAAAGAAAGCCCAAACAAAAGUAUGGCACUCCAUGUCUCUAUCUAAUAUGGCAAAAGUAAACCAAAAUCAAAAUUAGGCUAUGCUGUCCGCCAGUGGGCACACUUCUAGUCAAAGUACACUUUCAUUUGCUUUACUUCCAUUAAAUGGUCAUAAUAAUUUGCUUUAAUAAUAAUGAAAAUCUCAUUAAUUAGCUCAAAAUGGAGUAUUUGGGCCAAUUUGAUGUGCAGACGUGCAGUAGAGAAAUCCUUUCACAUCUAACGAGUCCUAACUUUGUAGGACAGAGAACGAAACCUAAAGUUGCACAUUAACAAUACCUAGAAAGAUAGAUAAUAUGUACUUCCUAAUUUUCUAUAAUCCAAAGUAGAUAAACUCUGCUGAAAAAAGAGAAAAUACUAGCUUUAUUUCAGAUUCAGUAUUCGCGCAUCUUCGUUUUAUUUUUCUUAAUUAUUUUUGCUACUUUUGUUAACAAUGUAUAAUAUCUUGGUAGCAUCAAUUUUUCUUUAAUAAACCUUUGCAGUGGAGUGGGAAAAAACACUAAAUCUAUUCAUCAUACUUCCAAUUACAUGCAUUACAUAUUGCAGUUCCAUAACUUCCCACUUACGAAUUUGCAACACAGUUCAUUAGAAGUACUUAACACAAGCUACUCUGUGACAGACUAACUCAUGGGAAAUUACAAAACUAAUCUAAUUUCUGCAUUACGAGGUUGUUGGAGCUGGAAGAUGACCUAGUAAAAUAGCCUAAACAAGAGAAUCUGCUUGUGUCAUAGCUCUAAGCUUCUCUCAAAUCCCAACAGCGUACGUAAGUUAUCUUAAAGUUCCCUCGUAUAUAUGAUCAGUAAUAACUUCUUCACUUCAAGCCAUCCCAACGCAACAACAAUUAUAAAACCUCACUGAUUCUACAACAGCUUCUAUUAGGGACAUUAGUUAGAGAUAUUCAAAGAAGAAGUUUAUAGAAUCAAUUAUUCAUUCGUACGCGUUUUUUUCACUCAAAAUAGACAUGUAAAAGAGGACAGAGGGAAUAAUUCGUAAGACGGUACCUAGGAUGACCCGGGGCAGACAGUGAUCAAUCAAAUCCCGAAGCAUCAUCGUGAUCAUCCGGCGCUUUAAAUUUUAAUAUCAUCAAACCUCUGAUAAAUUAACUAUAAAACCCCAGCAAGUUUGCUAACCCUGAUUAAAACCGAUAAUGUAUAAUGUGGCUCAAAGGGUGCUGACUGCUGAGUAUAAUUUAAUUUAAAUUAUAAAUAAUAUUAAUUAAUUUAUAAAUAAUUUAAUAAACUCCUUAGAUAUAUUUUAUUUAUGAAAUGCCGCCACAACUUUACUCAAAACUUAUCAAUAUUGUUUUAAUUUUUAUAUUAUAUGACAAUUAUGUGGAUUUAGAAUAUCAUCAAACUGACUCUUUAUACUCCCUCCGUCCCAUUUUAGUUGUCACAUUUCUAUUUUUAUUGGUCAAAUUGACUAACUUUUUGACAAAAAAUUAUAAGUCUCUUUCAUUAUUUUAAAAAACUAAAAAUUACAUUUUAAAGUAGAUUAAAAUUUAUUUCCAGUAAUAUAUUUUUUUAUUUUAUAAUAUAUUAAUAAAUUUGAGUCAAACUUUUGAUCAAUUUGACCGGCACAAACUCAAAGGUGACAACUAAAAUGAGACGGAGGAAGUAUCAUUAUAUUGGAUCAGAGAUAAAUAGAUAAGAGUCAACUAAGCUAAAAUUAAAUCCUAACGGUAUCUUAUUGAAUUGAAGAAAAAUUGUUAACAAAUGGUGGUGACAUCUUUAAAAAAGUUUGAGGCCAGAGCUGUUUGGGUUAAUUUAAAAAAGUGAUUUCUUGCUUAAAUUAAAAAAGUAGAGUAGAAGUGAGAAAUAAAUAAGUUAAUAAAGUAUUUGGAAAAGAAGCAGAAGCUAACAUUCUCAGUUUUUUAAAAAUGUUUCUGUUUAUUUACACAAACGGAUUAAAAAAAAAAGUGUGAAAAGGAGAAGCCGGUUCUUCAAAACAAACAGCCCCAUAGUUUCCGGAUGUUGGGUCGUAUAACUAUGCAAAGCCCCAAAAAUGAGAGCCCAUGGCAUGAAUAUUUGGACUAGCCCAUUUACAUGUAUUGCUGUAUUUAGUUAGAUAGUAAAAAGAAAAAACUUGAAAAACUAAAUUUAUUUUAGUAAGUGUAGACCUUAUUUAUUUAUUUUAUUUCUGUUUGAAAAGGUGUAGACAUUAUUAUCAAGUGAAGAUAAAUUCGGAAUUUUACUACAAAAUUCCUCUCUAGAACCUGACUUCCCAUGCUAAUUUUAUUCUUCUUAUCUCCUUUUUCUUGGUAACCUUGUUGUUGAUCUCUUUAGUAAACCUUAAUUGAAUUUAUUUAUUUACUAGUGAAUAAAACCGCGCUUCGCGGCGGCGUUAUGAUUUUUUUAUAUAUUUUGAUACGAAUUAAUAUUAUAAUUGUAUAAAGUUAUUUUGAGUAAUGUUCCUGUUAAACAUAUCAUUGAUAAAAAAAAUAUUAUAAUUAAUAUAAAAAUUUGUUUAAGUGGUCUCCUAUCAAACACAAUACUACUAAAAAAAAUUGUUUGAACCGCACUCACAUCAAAGAUAAUAUUAAUCAAUAAUUAUUAUAAUAAUAAUAAAAUUAAAUAUAACAAUAUAGAUAAAGUUAGUUUGAGCCGCUCUCUUGUCAAACACAAUACUAAUAACAAAAAAUUAUAAUAUAGAUAUUAGUUCGAGUCGCCGUACCCUCAAACACAAUACUAAUAAAAAAUUAUUAUAAUUAUGAUAAAGUUACAGAUUAUAUUUGGAUAAAAAUUAUUUUAAGCCUUGGUACCGUUUUAAUAAAAAAUAAAUUAUAACUUAGAUAAAAAUUGUUUUACCCGCUUUUCCGUCGAAAUGAUACUAAUAGAAGAUUUAUUAUUAUUUAGAUAAAAACUAAUUUGGGCCGCCCUCCCCUCAAACACAAUAAUAAUCAAGAAUCUUUUUUAGAAAUUUUGAUACGAAUUAAUAUUAUAAUUACAUAAAAAUUAUUUUGAGUCAUGUUUCUUUUAAACAUAUCAUUAAUAAAUUUUUUUAUAAUUAAUAUAAAAAUUUGUUUAAUUGCCCUCCUGUCAAACACAAUACUAAUAAAAAAAAAUUGUUUAACCCGCCCUCUCAUCAAAGACAAUAUUAAUCAACAAUUAUUAUAUUAUGAUAAAAUUAAAUAUGAUAAUAUAGAUAAAAAUUAGUUUUAACCACCCUCUUGUCAAACACAAUACUAAUAACAAAAUAUUAUAAUAUAGAUAUUAGUUUGAGUCUCCUACCGUCAAACACAAUACUAAUAAAAAUUAUUAUAAUUAUGAUAAAGUUAAAGAUUAUGAUUGGUAAAAAUUAUUUUAAGUUGUGGUCCCGUUUUAAUAAAGAAAUAUAUUAUAACUUAAAUAAAAAAAAUUAUUUUAGUCGCUUUCCCGUCAAACAUAAUACUAAUAGAAAAUUUAUUAUUAUUUAGGUAAAAAUUAAUUUGGGCCGCCCUCCUCUCAAACAAAAUACUAAUUAAGAAUAAUUUACAUUAUGAUAAAAUUAUAAUUAUAAUUGGAUAAAUAUAUCCAUUUUCAUAGGUUUUAUUUUUUAAUUGUUUUGAAUUAUCUCUCUUUUCUUUUAAGAUUUCUAUUUGUUAACUACUUAGAAUUUCACAAAUUUUGGCUAUUAUAUUUUUAUUCGAAUUCCUAUUUCUUAACUAUUUAGAGUUAUAUUUUUUUUACGAAUACUAUUUCUAGUUAUUUUAUCUAUUUUCUCUUAAAAAAUUAGGAAAAUUAAACGAAGGAGGCGCCUUUCGCAUCCUCCUUUAUAUUCUUUACAAUAAAUUCACCAAAAUAAUAAUAGAAAAAAGACCGAACCUGAUAUGAACGUAUUCUUUUAAUUGUAAAAAGAAAACAUGUUAUAGAACUCAAAACAUGGUUUGAACUUUGAUUAUCAAUGAAAUCACAGCAUCCCCAUGAUUUGAGAUUAAUUAUUGGCAAUAGUGGCCGCAAGCUGUAUGAUCAACUGGACAAAUUUAAGGUGUAACUUAUUUUUCUCUAAAAGGCAUCUUUGAUAACUUUUUGGCCAUCCGGCGAGGGGUUAUAAAAAAUCAUGGGUACUAAUUAUUAUAGCCUCCAACGGCUACAUAUAUAAACAUCAAAGAACAUAUAAACGUAAACACACUAAGCUCCUGACAUAUGCAGAUUCAAAUUCAGUUUAGUAGGAUUCAUGCGGUGUCGAAAUCAGGGAUUUGUAGAAAUUUUGGAAAAGACAGAGUGCGCCAAAACAAUCAAAGAUAAAACUAAAAGAAAAAUUAACCUGGACCUAAAAACAUUUUGCAAUUCUGUUGCAAUUCUGUUAGAUAAUCCAUAGAGCAUGUCAUGCACUCUUCCAAAUGUCAUGCACUCUUUCGAUGAGUUUCUGGAUAAAUCUCUUUCGAUAAGUUUCCUGAUAAAUUUAAGAAAAUUAUAAGAAUAAAUUGAAAAUAAGAAUUGUAUUACCUUAUAAAUCUCAAAUAUAAAUAGUAUUUUUCUUUAGAAUUGUAAAUAAGAAGAAGAAUUGUAUUAUGUUUAGAAUUCAAUAAUAAAAGAAUUGUAUUACUUUUAGAAUUGUUGAACUCAUUUUUUGAAUUAUAACUAUAUUUUCUCUCCGAAAUUUAAGAAUAAUUAGAAGACUGAAUCGAGCAAUUCUAGAGACGUCCGCAUCCUCCUUUAUAUAUAUAUAUUGAUUGAUUGAUUUGUAAUUUGGCAUUCGAAAAAUGUUUGGUAUACCUAAAUAAGAAUUCAAAAUUUUCAUACAUCAAAAAUAAAAUAAAAGUGAUAAUUCCAAAAAAAAAAAACACUCUGGCGUGGACCAGGUUGGAUUCAAUUUUCAAGCUUUUUUAUAUUUGAUAAUUAAAAAACUGUAAUGGUGACUUGAUUAUAUUUAAACAUAAUAUGAAGGACUAGAAAGUAAAAUUUAUUUUCACACAAUGUACUCAAAAAAAUGAAUAAUCUAGCAUUAUCUGUAAUCUACUUGACAAAAAAAUGAUGAAAUAUGUGUUUGGCUGCUUUUAAAAAUAUAGAAUUCCAUGCACCAGUUAAUCCCCUUUAUGGUGAACAGCUUAAUGGUGCUCCCGAACAAGGCCCUACUUGUAACAAAACCGCUAGAGACAUAGACCCAGUGUUGUGAAAAGCGCAAAUCGGUUCUAAGCGGCAGGAGGACCUUCUAGCGCUUAAGCGGUAAAGCGGACGCUUAAGCGGAAUUUUAAGCGGGUCAAUAAGCGGAUUAAUUAAAUAUAAUUAAAUAUUUAAUUAUAAUAUUAAUAUAUUUAAAAAUAAUAUUAUGUUGUGUUAAGAAUACGCAUUUUUAAUAUUUUUGAUAAAAUAUAUUUUUUUAAUUUUAUAAUAUAAUCAUAGUUAUAUUAUUAAAAAAAUAAUAUUUCAAAAUUAUUUUUUUAAAAAAAAUUAGCAAGUCAACAUUAUUUUGACCGCUUAAUUACCGCCUAAUCCGCUUAACGACCGCUUAAUCCGCUUAAUUGUCCGCUUAAUUUUCAAAAACGCUUAAUCCCCCGUUAGUACAAAAUCGAAGCGCUUUAGGGCCGAUUCCGCUUAGGCGGCCGCUUAAUCGGCCGCUUAAUGCGCUUUUUAGAACACUGCAUAGACCAAUAUAUUUAAGGCUCUUGUUGACGAGUAAAUGUAAAAGCAACUAAACCCUGGGGCAUGUGGUGUGUUUUCUGGCCCAUUUUGUGGCCUCAAACAAAGGGUCAGUUUUUGCCGUUUAAGAAUAUGGCUUUUUGCUUAUAAGUUGCUAGGCUUUAAGAAAAGCCCUGUUUGGUUGAGUGCGACUUCUCAAUUACUCAUUGUGAGGCCCUCUGCAGUACAGGUGUUUGUUCUUUAGACCUCAGACAUCCAAACCAGACAAAACUAUUUGCAUGUAAGUUUGUUCGCGAAUAUUAAUACACGAACAUGCAAAGAAAGCUUCCGGUAAUUUUUCCGUCAUCGAUGAGAAUCAAAUUUUAGACAUUAAAGCGAGUGGUGAUUGAGCAGGGGUCAAUGUUUAAUAUUUUUUAAAAUUUUGUGGGAUUACCCGUGUAAGCAACUAAUAUUAAAUUCUUAAUACGAGAUAGAGUUAAAUCUCUUUGAAAUAAUAAUGUUGAAACCAAUAAAAAAUAUUAUUUUAUUAAAUUCAUUAUGUUGUCAAGGAUGAAAUCUAUUAUCAACGUUAUAUUGAAACCAGAAAUAAUAUUAUUUGGAUAAAAUAAUUAUUUUAUUAAUUAUCACUUAAUCAAGUUUCGCAUGUUUAACGAACAUCUAAAUAGACCAGGUGAGGUCUUUAUUAGUUUGCUGCUGAAACCGAAAGAGCAAUAGCUGUGGUCCAAACUUUAAACAUUGAAAGAAGAGAAAGGAGAUUUAACUUUCAAGACUACUACUUAUGGCUUUCAGUCAAUUCUACCAUUUCGAUUUGACCAAUUCCAGAGGAACCCUCGGUCACUCGUAACUAUCACUAAAAUCUCAGUGCGCGCCCUUUAGGACAGCGGCGACGGGUUUCUACGUUAUAAUAAAUAAAUAAAUUAUUAUUUUUGGGGAAAAAAUAUAAACACUGCAUGUCACGUUGUUCGCUUGUUAUUACUUUUUUUUAUUGAGGAGAACCAUAUUCACAAAUUUGUUACUGCAUGCCAAAUUUAUAACUUAUUUCUCAUUAUUAUUUAUUACUGUAAUAUUCACAAAUUUGAUCAGCGGGUUAAUAUAUGCAUAAACAUAGACUAUUUAUUAAUUGUCACUAGAAACCAAUAAACAAUCAAAUAACAGCUCACGUGCGACAGUGCACGCGAGAAAAUGAGUGGUGGGUCGAAUUUGAAGCUGGUGAAAUUAAGGGGCUGAAGGGCCAUAGACAGAAGAUGCUAUCUGGGCCGUUGAAAGGUACAGAUAAGCACUGUGCCCGCACAUGCUUUCUGCCAGCCUGAAAAGCCCGACAACCCGAGUCCGAGGCCUCUUACAUUUGACAGCUCCAGCUCCAUGUUAAUCAAUCCGUGGUCUGUGUGUGAACAUAUUCAAGAUUGGAUUCACCUUGUUCAUGUUUUUACACGGAUCCUCUUUAAAAAUUAUCGGUUAGCUGUUUGUGUAUUGAAUUAAAUGUUUUGAUUAUUGAAUUAAAUAUUUUGAUUAGUUGAUUAAAAUAGAUAUUUUGACUAGCGGUUUAAAUUAUCGGUUUCUUUUAAAAUUGUUUUGUAAAUAACUUUUUGAUUAAUUUUUUAUCAAAACCUCUCCAGAAUCUCCUCAAAGUAGCUUUUUUAAAAUUAGCUUUAUCGGCUAACUACCAAACACUAGCAUAGCGGAUUGAAAUUGUCAAAAUUCUAAAACACCCCAAAUCUCCUGAUCAACCAUAUCACUCGUCUGAUAUCGCUGGUUUCUUCCUUCAAAUCACAUAAAAUACUCUCCAAACAUAAACAUAUCAAGGUUUGUAGAAACAUUAGCGUCAAAGUAAUCUCUAAUGAACACGAACUAGUCGGGCUGCGUCUUUGGGCCCGGUUAAAUUUUGAAAUACAUGGCUAAGACGCUUCAAGGGUCCAUCAAACUACUAGUCUUGCAACAAUUAUGGAUCGAGGGGACACAUUUGUGAUUUGUAUUUGCUUUGUACAUAAUUAUUCAACAUGCAACCACUUAGCUUUAAAUAAAUCCAAAUUUGUGUUCUAUCAUAAACAUGUAGGUAUAUAAAAAUUUAGUACACGUAAUUAUUGAUUUCCAUUUCUAUGCACCAAUUAAUUAUUUAAUUUCUAUUUUCGUUUGAAAAAUUAUUAUAGACUGUAUUCUAUAAAUAUUAUAUGCAUUCGUGAUCAUAGAAUUGAUAGGUGAAACCAACUAAUUAACAUAUUGACGCAGAAUUUAUCAAAAAUAUUCUGAUAUAUAAAGAGAUAAAAUAUUUUCUAAGAAUUAAUCCUCAAAUUUUUACUAAAUCUGAAAUAUUGAAAAUGUAGCUAGCGUUAAGAAAUCAAGAACUUAUCAUUUUUCCAUGUCAAAACACAUGUCACUUAAUUUUGGUGCAUAUUUCUAAAUAAUUUGACCGCAAGGUGGAAAUUUUUGUUUUUAAAAUUAUAUUUUUCAUUUAUAAUAAUUAAUGAUUUUUUUUAUUUCGAAAAGAAAAAUUCAAAAUUCAAACACGGGAGUAUGAACACAUGGAUGGAAAUUACUAAUUCGAAAUCUUCUUUAACUUGGCGACUAACAGCCGGUUGGUGUGCAGUUUUAAAUCAUGACUUAAAAUUAUUUUUGAUUUUAAAUUGUGAAAUGUCACUUCAGUGAUUGAAUUAUAAUUAUAAAUAAGACAGAAACUGAUUUACAAAAAUUAAUUUGAUAUAUAUAUAUUUUUCAGUAAUUUAACAUUUUUUUAUAAAAAUUAUUAAUAAAUCAUAAAUUAUCUCUUGAUCACUUUUAUCUUAUCAUUAUAAUUUAGUAAUUCAUAAAUUAAUAUAAAAUUGUAACUAAUCAAAUACAUAUAUUUAAAAUUCCUAAUUAAUAUAAUUAAAUUAUUUUAAAUUGUAGAUCACAAUUUUAAUCUGGGUGGUAACGUAAAACCAUAAGUCUGUAACUAAAUUUAAACAAAAAAAGCCCAAAGAUGGGCCCAUUCAAAUAAGCUGCAAAGUAGAGCUCAAGAAUGAAGCAGUAGUAUAUAAAAUUAAAACAAAUGGUGACAUCUCUGUGUCUUACUUUCCACAUAGCCUAUCCAAAUCCCCAAGCUACAUCUCUUUCAGUUUUCUCUAAUAUAAUUUGUCCAUAUAUAUGCAACAUUUGUUAGUGUAUGUAUAACUCCUGGAAGACUUUCCCUGAUUGCCCAUGUUUCCAUUCUCAUUUCCCAAUCUACCCACAUUCGUUGCUUUCUUCCCAAACUACCCAACUUUUACCUUUUCCAAAAUAAACAAGACUUGAUAUGGACCCCACCAGAUUAUUAUGCAGCAAAAGGACAAGAAAUCACAUGCACCCCUCAUGUACAUUUUGCAUAUAUAUCACUUAGGUUUCAUGUUUUUUAUUAAAUUGACCCUACAGUUUCUUAAUUAAUCAUUGUCAAUUAUAAUUAAAAUUAAUUGAACAUAUCAACAAAAAAACAAACAUCUAAUAUUAAAUUUAACAAUUCUAAAAUAUUUGAGUUGAUAUAAAGCCAAAGAGUUGAAAUGACAAUUCUGCAUUUAAAUUUGAGUAGACAAUACACUUUAAAUUUGAGUAGACAAAAGCCUGUAAAAUUAAACAUUAUUUUUCAAAAAGCUAGAUAUUGUGCAGUAUAUAUUAUUUUGUAAAUAGUUGAUUUAAGAGCAUGUGGGCCAGGCUUUUUGUUUUUUUCAUGGCUGAAGUUCAAAAGGUGGGUAUUUAGGGAAAAAUUGCAAGUAAGUGGGUAUUGUGGGAAAAAUGAAUGAGAGGUUGGGCAAUCUGGGAAUGGAUUCAUAACUCCUGCAAGGCUGCAAACUAGGCCUCUUAGCAUGUCUUGAAAAUAGCAAAAUCUUUUAUUUUUCUUGUACAUGCUUCUUUUUAACUGUCAUUCUUCUUGUUCUUUGAGUAAAGUUGGAUAGUCAUGGGGGAAGAAGUUCAUGGGGGAUGGUCACCCACCGGAGCUCCGAUGAGUUUACAAAGAGAUGACCACUGGAGGCAUUUUGGUAACUCAGUUAAUGCGGUGUCUUGUGGGUUUGUUGCUACUGCUAUUCUCAUUUUAAUGUUUCUUGUUAUGGCCAUUUUUGAGAGGUUUCUUAGAACCACUUCGCCGGAAAUGUCACCGUCCGGUGACCGGAGUCAUUUGGAUAUGGUUUCCCAAAUGGGGUUUCAUGGAAAGCUCAGUUACCCAUCACCCAAGGUCAGUUUCAAAUUUUACCAUGCAAUUGCUUUGUUAUUUUUGUUUUUGCUCUUUAGAUUUUUAUCUGCCUAAUAAGAAGCCAAUUGAAAUUAAUUACCAUCCACAAACAAUUAUUGACAAUUUUUUUGUUAAAAACCAUAAAUUUAUCGGGUAUUUUUUUUUUAAAAAUGUUUAGUCAUGUAUUUUAACCAUAUAAAACAAUUGUUUAUGCUCAUCAUAGAAGUAGUUCACAGAAUCACAAAGAGUAUUGAAGAUAUGUUAUCUACAAGUUCUGAGUAACUUCCACUUGCUUGUUUGGAGAGAAAAGUACAAAAUUUAUCUGAAUUGGAUGCUAUACAUAUACCCACAAAUAGUGACAAAGGAACCUAAAUUUGGAUUUAGUAAUUAUGAAUUAGUCUGAUACAAUUAUAUAAUUAAACAAUGCCAUUGACUAACUAGUGUGUGAAUAUAGUUUAAGCAUGUGCAUUGUUUCCUAACCUUUAAAUUAAGAGAUAAGCAAAUUUUGUCUUGAUGAAAUGGGCCAUUGGAGAUGUUGCUAGCUGGUUUGUUGGUCCCCAAUUUUUGCCCAUAAAAAACUUGAGGGAGAUCAUGUGUCUACAUGUCUUUCUUGUACAUUUGGUGUUUACUACCCACUCUUGUACAUGUUAACAAGUUGGGCCAUCACUAGAAAUAUUUAUGAAGCUUCACAUCAUCUCAUGGCCAGCAAUUAGUUGGGAGACAAGCCGUCGUCUUUCUUUUGUUAUCAAGUCGUCUAUAUUUUUGUCUUUUAACAAGCAUUAAUGCACUCAAGGUCGAAAUUCAGUUUAGACAGAAAUAUCUGUAUCUGCAAUUGUAUGAGUUGUUUAAAGUUAAUUGAUGGCGAAUACGUAUAGUGUCAUUAGCAGCACUUGCACAGAAAUUCUAGUUUUCAUAGUUCAUACGCGACUAAGAUUACGCAUCUAUUUGCCACUUGCCAGUAUGUGUUUUUUGAAAAUUUAGAAGCCCGCUCCCAAUACUCAACAAUAUAAUAGUCUUUGUAGUGAAUAUUUACAAAAUCAUGCUUAAUUUUCUAAUCAGCUGAUCACUGAAGUAAAAAUCAUAUUCUGUUCACCAAAUGUAAGUUACUAGGACUUGGGGUACAGACUGUUGGACACACAGCAUAUAUCCCAGCCUCUAACUCAAAAUUUUUAAAUAUCCGGGGACAGGCACAUUCCUCUGUUGGACACCGGGAUACGAGAAAAUUCAUUAUAUUAUCCAGUAUAUUUAAUGAAUUUUCACAGCAAAGAUCAACAAUAAAAAUCACAUUAAACACGAUUUCGUUAAGAAACUUUGCAAAUUUUGCUUCUUCUCUUGUUUAUUUGCUCGUUUCUCCUUUUCUUGUCCCAUAUGUUUCCUUGCAAUAAGUUUCACUGCGAAUCUGGUCUUUCACGCGACGACUAACACCAAAGAGUCGAAGAUGCAUAGCUCUAUAUGCUAAGGUCAAAUGUAUACCGGAUGACAAGUAAAAAUGCCCCGUAUAUGUGUAUCAAAUAUUAACUGAUGAUAAACAAAUUAGCUUCCAACAAAGAUUUGUUUGUUUUGUUGUCCCAGUAUCAAAACCUCCCUGCAAGCCUUCUUAGCUAUGCUGUGUAGAUUCAAUGGAUAUCUUUUCCUUUCAUGAAAAAAAUUAUCAAAUUUGGGAGGGUUCUGCAAUACCUAUAGUGCUUCAUAAACACAUUGUGAAAGUGUAUGUUUCAGUGAAGUAUAUGUAUGUCCUAGAACGCAAUCAUAUAGAAGAUAUACCAAAUUUAACUAGUCCGUAGGUGGAAUGCAUUACUCUUUAGCUGGGUCCCUAAUUUGCAUUGUAGGUUGCUUGCCAUAUAUCAUCAUACAUACAUUAUCACAUAUGUUCUUAGAAUUUGUUGAAUAAAUUUCCUAGGCUGUUACAAUAUUCUAGGGAGUAGGCUCGAUGAUAUGGACUGGCUUGCUAAUUGAAUUAGACUUUUUUUAAAUGUAUUCUAUUAUAAAGUUGAAGUAUUUCUUUACUAAAAGCAUUUAAUUAUCCCGCAGACUUGUUAAAAGAUAUGCUAAGGUGUUGUGCUGAUAAGUGUCUUUAUUCAGAUUCCUACAAGGGCGACUGAAGUUUCAGUCUUGAUGCCCGGAGAAGCUAUUCCCACAUUCAUUGCACAGCCUGCUCCUGUCCCUUGUCCCCUGGAACGUGUACCAUGGCCUCCCCAUAAUCAUAUAUAAUUUCAAGGUUUGUACACUAUUCUGGAUCCUGGAAUCAAGUUGACCAGAGCUAUGACUGCGUUGGUGUAGAUUCAUCAGUAAGCAUUUUAGCAUCAAGUUUAGCCUGCAUCUUUGUAAUUUUAUCCUUCAUGUGUACAUAUUUUGAUGAGGAGGUAUGUAAUGGACUUGGAUAGAUAAUUAUUCAUUGGGUUUGCAGGUGCCAUUCAAUACAAAACUGGACUUUUUUUUUGCUCUUCCUAAUUUCUAUACAACUCACCUACCUUUCUUCAAGAAUAUGGGCAAUAUUUGCUUAAGAGAAAUUGCAAGAAACUAGUUAUACGGACUCUUAAGUUGAAAUAUAAGAUGGUCUCUUACCUUAAAAUAUACUAAGAAUUUUGGAAUAGUACUUCUCUAAAUGCCUUCUUGUCUUGGGUGUUACCUCACAAUAUAUGCCCUGAUGAUUUCAUUUUACGUGAAGCAUGUCUGACCUGCUUGCCUGUCUUAAGAACACUCUAUCUUGAUUAUUGGUAUUUCUCAAUAUCAUUUUCUCUUUCAGUGUGCCUCAUUUAACAGCUCUCUGUUUGACUGCGUGUCACGGAUUUCCUCGAAUGGCAUGGAACCUCCCUGCGUUGUUAAGUUUAAAACUGGAUCGUAUAAUUCUUCCCAGGAAUAUGGCUGACAUCCUCUCGAAACUGGUCAAUCUACAAAACCUCACAUUGAUUUCUUUUGCAUCAAUUCACCAUCAUAAUAUCUUCUUAUCUUGUCCCCAAUUGCUAAACCUGAAUAACAGCCCCCGGUCCGGUGAGACUUUUUUUAACGACAAUUGAGUUGCAGGUUUUCUGGUGUGUCUUUUAUGUGGUUGGAAGCUCAUAAGUUGGUAAGUAAGAAUAUAUAUUGGGCCGUUUGGCUGGGCUUAAAAGAAGUGACUUAUUGCUUAAAGUAAAAAAAUAGAUUAAAAGUGAGAAGUUAGUAUGGACUUAUAAGUUAUGAUAAGUGUUUGGAUACCGUGACUUAUAAGUUUUUAAGUGUUUGUAUAACUUGACUUAUAAGUUGGUAUAAUUUCAUAUUUUUGUAACAUAAUUUGUUUUAUUUAAAUAUAAAUGAUGAUAAUAACACAAGACCUUUUGUUAUUAAUACAAGAAAUAUUGUACAGAUUCUAAAUUUUAAAAACUCUGCAUUAAAAGAAAAAAUUAAUAAAAACAGAUAAAACAAGUAUGUAAUGGACUUGGAUAGAUAAUUAUUCAUUGGGUUUGCAGGUGCCAUUCAAUACAAAACUGGACUUUUUUUUUGCUCUUCCUAAUUUCUAUACAACUCACCUACCUUUCUUCAAGAAUAUGGGCAAUAUUUGCUUAAGAGAAAUUGCAAGAAACUAGUUAUACGGACUCUUAAGUUGAAAUAUAAGAUGGUCUCUUACCUUAAAAUAUACUAAGAAUUUUGGAAUAGUACUUCUCUAAAUGCCUUCUUGUCUUGGGUGUUACCUCACAAUAUAUGCCCUGAUGAUUUCAUUUUACGUGAAGCAUGUCUGACCUGCUUGCCUGUCUUAAGAACACUCUAUCUUGAUUAUUGGUAUUUCUCAAUAUCAUUUUCUCUUUCAGUGUGCCUCAUUUAACAGCUCUCUGUUUGACUGCGUGUCACGGAUUUCCUCGAAUGGCAUGGAACCUCCCUGCGUUGUUAAGUUUAAAACUGGAUCGUAUAAUUCUUCCCAGGAAUAUGGCUGACAUCCUCUCGAAACUGGUCAAUCUACAAAACCUCACAUUGAUUUCUUUUGCAUCAAUUCACCAUCAUAAUAUCUUCUUAUCUUGUCCCCAAUUGCUAAACCUGAAUAACAGCCCCCGGUCCGGUGAGACUUUUUUUAACGACAAUUGAGUUGCAGGUUUUCUGGUGUGUCUUUUAUGUGGUUGGAAGCUCAUAAGUUGGUAAGUAAGAAUAUAUAUUGGGCCGUUUGGCUGGGCUUAAAAGAAGUGACUUAUUGCUUAAAGUAAAAAAAUAGAUUAAAAGUGAGAAGUUAGUAUGGACUUAUAAGUUAUGAUAAGUGUUUGGAUACCGUGACUUAUAAGUUUUUAAGUGUUUGUAUAACUUGACUUAUAAGUUGGUAUAAUUUCAUAUUUUUGUAACAUAAUUUGUUUUAUUUAAAUAUAAAUGAUGAUAAUAACACAAGACCUUUUGUUAUUAAUACAAGAAAUAUUGUACAGAUUCUAAAUUUUAAAAACUCUGCAUUAAAAGAAAAAAUUAAUAAAAACAGAUAAAACAAAUAAAAAGACAUAUCAUUUAUUUAAUACUAGUUAUGAAUAAAUCAAUAAAAAUGCAGGACAUAUAUUGUCAUGAAUAAAGGUAGCUGAGUGAUAAUUAUACAAAGUUGAACCACAGUGACUUGACUUGGUUUCCUGUUGUAAAAUAAGUUGCAGUCCAAAAAAAGCUAGCUUCUAUAGCUUUUUUUUUUUUGAACUUCUGAAUGUUGAAUUGAGCGCUUCUAAAACGUAGCCAAACAGACAGUAUUAAGCAAAAGUGAACUUCCAGAGCUUUUAAGCCCAUAAGCUGUUCCACCAAACACCCACAAAGUUAAGUCGUUGGUUUGGAAAAACGGAUUGGAUUGCGAUGAUUACAUAAUUACAGUGUUGCUGAGAUCACAAGAACUACCGCGAAGCAUGUUAGCUCGUCUGACAAGUUUUUUUUUACUCAAAGCCGACCCAGUGGUUAAAUUAAGGAUUUCGAUCUUGUUAAUUGUUAGAAUAUAAAAUAAUCCUGAUAAGCAGUGCUUCCAUUAACUUGAGGUUUCGGAAAAAUUGGUUACUCAAUAUAUUACGACUCGGAUUGGGCGGAAAAUAGAAGUGUAUGUGGUAUACUACUUUACCUCUUUUCAUUUUUCCUCUAACAAGCUGUUAGCUUAGAAAAUAAGGGAAAAAACAUUUGGGUAAAACAAUAAAUUUACUCGUGAGUUUAAACUUUUGGCUGGAAAGCAAUCAGACGUGAACCCCUCCCCUGGUCAGGAUCUUGGAAUUCACUACUUCCCAAAUCAUGAAAGCUAGCUGGUCCUUGUUUUACAUAAAUGUGAUCCAAGAAUAUUCAAUUUUUCCUUCAUUCAUGUUUCAACAACCAUUCAAUCUUUCCCCUGCUCCUCAACUCAUUUUAUUCGUACCAUUACUCCAUCACCAUUUCAUGCAACAAUAACAAAUUUUAUCCUCAACCCGAAUCAAAACUUCUUCCCUCUGUUAACCUCUUUUUCAUGCCUCCUACCCGUCGUCGUAGUUCGACAUUCACAAGGUCGGAAAAAGGUCUAAUAUAGCGAGAUUACAAGUCGGAAUAAUUUAAUUGCUGUAAAAUUCAGAUAAUAAUCGUUGAUGCAACCCCUGGAAACAAAUUAGUCACCAAUAUGCUGGAUUUGAACAUGGUCCAGUAGUGUACUGCUGGUCUACUGCACUUUCAAACACCAAUAAUACAACAGGUAUCGUUGCACUCAUUUAUUAUCUUCGUUCAACCUAGUCUAUCAUUGUUUUCCUUCACUUUUAACCCUUUUUCCUUCUUUUUCUCUUAAAUCCUCCCUCCACUUUCACUUUAGUUUUACCACUUUUACUUGUAAUUUAUCCUUCUACUAAAAGACAACGGUAUCUCCACAAAUACUUUAGAUUUCUCAAAUUGAAUCUUCCACUUUUUACUUGGGGACUUCACAGUCUUCAAUUAAAUCUUAUCGUCAAAUUACAUUUUACGAGAAGAUGUAAAUCAAUUCAAGAAAUAAAAUUUACUCUAUCAAUCUGUUGAAUUAUUAUUUUUGUUUUUAUUUAAUUAUAUAUUUUAAUUCAAUUUCUUUAGAAUAAUAUUUUUUUAACUAUUUGAUCAAAAAACGUACAAAUAUAUAUCAAAAAUCGAACAAAAUGUAUUUCAAAUUUAGGAAAUACUACAUUUUCGUGUUGGCAAAAUGUUAACUCUUCAUUUUUCUUCCAAAUUAUUGUUAUGUGAGAAGUUUGGCUCGAGUUCAAUUUAAUAUUGGAUAUAUGAAACAAAUCCCGGAAAAAAGAGAGUAAAAAUGAAGAUAACCUUUUGCAGACAGAUCUGUCCUCUACCUGCAAUAUUGAUUUACUUGCUACAUAGUACAAGGAUAAUCUUCUUGGUCUAAAAGGCCAAACCAUAUCCUCUCUAACAUACUUACCAUAUCACUUUUUUACUUACAAUAACAUGACAGACAACAGUGGGACUUCGGGGUGACAAUUUGUGUCAAGUUACCAUUCUACCCCUUUGUUUCUACAGAAAAAUGAAACAUUCCAAGGACACGAGUGGGUUUUCGAUCAACUCAUUGCUUGUCGGUGGCCACUUGCCUUCUUUAUUACUUCCCUCCCUUUUUCUUGAAUUCUCGGAUAAGUCGGAUCUGACCCGACCCGGUGACUUUCCUGUUCUUCUCACAGAUGGGCUCCGACCCAGAUUCUGUUUUGACCCGGCAUUGUCGUUUCGGAUGACGGGCGACCUUGACCUCCGGCGAGAGCUUUCUCCGGCGUCUCUAACGGGCCUCAUUUCCUUCACAUGACUCUGUUCGACCCGUUUGUCUCUUCCGGGUACGAUCCGAACCCGAUUCGGAGACGGUUGCUCGGGCCUCCUCGCCGGAGAUUUCGCCACUCCCCUCUCUCUCCUCCCGUGUAAUUCACCGGAAUACGACCGACGCUUGAACUUCUCAGGCGACUCAACUUUCCGGCGAAUUUCACCGAUUUCUUCAUUUUCUCUAGAGAAGCUCUCACUCAUAGAACUAUAAAUCUCUGAAAUUUCAGAAACCUCUUCUGGGUUUUCAAGCUUAUGAAUCUUUUUGAAAUGGGUCUCGUUUAUUCCCUCAAAAUCUUGAUCAUUUUGAUGUAAAGAUUGAGUCUUUUUUGGAGGCUUCAAGAUUCUUGGAGUUGAGGGUCUUAGCUUUGGAGUCUCGGAGAGGACUUCUUUGACUGAUUCUUCUAGUAAGUGUGGUGGUGGUGAUCUUGGCAAUGGUGCUUGGUUCGAUGGUAAGUUUGAUCUGUGUUUGCUUACAAAACAACCCAUUGAGUGAAUAUGUUUGUGUUGAUUUGUUUAUCAGGAGACCAAGGGGAGCUUUGUCAUGGUGAUGUGUUGGAAGUUGUGAUUGGGGGAUUCUAGGCCGAAGAGGAUGUCUUAAUAUUGGGAGUGAACAUGUGAGCUCAUGCUGAUAUAUAGAGCAGUGUAUAAAUUACUCUCUCUCCCGCUUCAUUCUUCACUGUUGUUUGUUGCAAGAAUAACACAUUUUAAUAUUUUUAUAAAUUUUUGUAUAUUAUUGCAAAUACUUUUAUGAAUUAAAAUUAAACGUAUAAAUUUUUGUUUGAAAAUAAAUAAUUAUAAUUUAUAUUUUACAUAUUUUUGAAAUAUUUGUCCAAUGAUAAUUAUUUUAUAAAUAAUGGGACAGGGUCAAAUAAUAAAAAAUAAUAUUAAAAACGUUACUACAGUGUAAAAAUGAAAUUUUCUCUUACAGUUGCAUGACACUGAAUUAUUGAUCCAUGAAUGAAAAAAAUAAUAUAAAUAACAAGUAUAUGAUCUACAGAGUACUCGUACAAGUCUACAACGGAAGAGGGUGCCCACCCUAAAAUAUGGGCCUGUUUGGGAAUGAGAUGCAGAAGCUGCUUCUAGCUUCUGCUUCUUUUGACCCGUUUGUGUAAAAAAGUAGAAGCACUUUUAAGAAGCUGAGAAUGCUAACUUCUCUCUUACAGCUUUUGCUUCUUUUCCAAACACUUUAUUAACUUAUUUACUUCUCACUUCUACUCCACUUCUUUAAUAUAAGCAAGAAGUCACUUUUUUUAAGCUAACCCAAACGGCCCCUAUAUGGCAAGAUUGGAAAAUAUUGAAAGAUUGUGUCUGCUCUGGAAAAAAAAAAAUAAAGAGGAGAUCUGACAUACGCCAACUCAACUCACUAACCCUACCAUGACGGAUUUCAGACCAAAUUUCUAAAUCAAUAUUAAUAGCUUGGAACCCACCUUAAAAUGGCUGAACCUGUUAUACAAUCUGUGCAAAAAUCAAAGAGUGUUUGUGUGUGCAAAGCGUAGGAGACAGAAUCGAAACGAAAGAUAUAUGUAAGAGAAUCCGAGUCCAGUGCGCAACUGUCUCCUUAAAGCGUAUUUCGCCCUCACCGUAUGUGAUGAACGAUCGCCUCCCAGGAUAAAACGGAUUAACGAUGCGAGAAGCACCUUCGACGAACUAGAACAAGGUUGAAAACUAUCAACGCGGCUAGGGUUUUGGACGUGAGAGGCUGUGUAUUUUUUCGUGAGUGCAAACCCUAAACUAUAAUGAAUAUAUAUAGGCAAUGCAAGACUUGUGCGCUACGCUUUGUAAUUAAUUAAAACGCGUUAAUUAAAUUACACGGUUAUAAAUUAAAUCCGAAAUCAAAUUGAAUUAAUUUAAAACCAAACAAUUAAUCCGAAAUCAAAUCGGAAUUAAUUUCUGUCAAUUUAAUUGAGCCCAAGCCCAGUGGAAAAUUAAAUUCAGCAGAACUAGUCCGUAAUUCUUCGGGCCCAGAUUUUGCUGCAUUCGUGUCCGCACACGCGGAAAAGCCCGAGGCUUGCGAAGCCACGAAAUUUCCCUCGAAAUCCCACGAUUUGCACCCCCCCCUGCGCGCACGUAGGUGGUGGAGCAUAACACUAGUAACACAUUUGGACACUACCAAAGUGUUUUGCUAUAUAAAGCCUUUAAAGGCUCUUUAUUGAAUCUAUGUGGGAUUCAAGCUUUUUAUUCCAAUUUUUCCACUACCAAGGAAACAACUUUGGAUCAUCAUAACUCAUCCAUUCCUUAGUCGUUUUGAGUGAAUAAACAUGCAUUGGAAAGCUCUCUCAGAGGAGAACAUAAUCCAAGCAUAACCUGCCACGAGCACGUAGCCGAGCCUCACUCAAAUUGGUGCUCAAAAUGACAAAUUUCCAACAGAACCCACUGCAAUCUGCAUGGUUAUAUUAAUACAAUAUAUAGAAACAAACAGUACGUACAAAUGUACAAUGUGCACAUACCAUUUGGUGCAGGUGAUUAGUAGUACUACUACUAUUUAAACAAAAUAAUCUAACAACUGCUUGUGUAUUUGUCUGUGUAUGGACUAUGGACAUGAGGUGAUAUACCCACCCAAUAGUUUACAUUAGGUUUAGUCAUGAAAAGUUAGGAAAUAUGUAUAAAAUAAUGAAAAAUAAGAAGAAAAGUGGAUGAAGUGAUGGGACCGGUUAAUUUUUGAGUAAAAAUAGUGUGAAAAGAGAGGAAAAGUGAGAAAAUGAUGAGACUCAUUAACUAUUUUAAGUAAGUUUUGUAAUGUAAAGAAAUGAGUGGAACGUCGAAAAAAAAAACGGUAAAAAAUCUGAUGGGGCGGAUAGAGUAAUAGGUUAGAUUUACGGGGGUGUAUUCGAUUGGGAUUUUAAUGGAUUGUUUUUAGUCUAUGAAUUUUAAUGGAUUGUAUGGGAUUUUGAUUUUAUGCGGAUUAUUGAUAAAAUGUCACAGAGUUGAUAGGAUUUAGGUACAAUGCUUCAAAAUCCCAUUGAUUUUGAUGGGAUUUCAAAAAACUUAAAAUACACCGAAGAAUGUCACAAAAUCCAUCAUUUUAUGAAAUGAAAAAAAAUCCAUCAGCAUUUGAAUACAUCAGAUUUUAAUGGAUUUUAAACAAUCUCAAUUGAAUACCAUCGGAUUUUAAAGCAUAAUUUAAAAUCCCAAUUGAAUACCACCAGAUUCUGUAGCAUAAUUUAAAAUCCCAAUUGAAUACCACCAGAUUCUGUAGCAUAAUUUAAAAUCUCAAUUGAAUACCUCAAGAUUUUAAUGGAUUUCAAACAAUCCCAAUCGAAUACCCUCGGAUUUCAUGAAUGCAAAAAAAUGCUUUGAAAUCCCAAUCCAAUACACCCCUCUUAAGGUGGAAAAUGAGUGCAACAAGUCAUGUCAGAUUUAGAUGCAAAGGCAGUGAGGAGAAGUGUUUAGAGUGGCAGUGUAGUUUUCAGCGCUGCUGGUGCCGGGCGUAUUGAAUGAAGUUUUCAGCGCUGCUGGUGCCGGGCGUAUUGAAUGAAUGAAGACUGGGUAGGUUCGGUUGGUAUGUGAUCUCAGGUUCAGGUUCAUAUCAUUAUAUAGUCAAGACGAAGCACUCUAAAUUACCUGUUUAUAACAACUCGAUCCGAUAUGUAUUAACUAAAAUUUUAAAUAUAAUAUAAAAAAUUAUGUCUUAAUUAUUUAAGACUUAUUUAACUAUAAUCUGAAACAAAAUCAGAUUCUGAAACUUGCUUCUAAUAUACCUAAAACUAAAAAAAGUUGUUCUAAUUUCUGAUAUUUUUUAUCCAAAAAUUCUAUAAAAUUAGAAUAAUAGUACAGAAUGAUAUCACGAUAUGAGAAACGCCACAUACACGCCCCUUAUUCUCCUUUAUAUAAGUAUAUUGAUUGAUGAUUGAUUAUGAAAUUUCUUGGACUAAUAAUACCCUCUCCGUCUUCUUUCUUGAUAUAUAAUUUGUUAAAAAAAAUUAUACCUAAAUUAAUACUUUUCUUUUUGGUUCUUAAAACAAUUUUUCUCAAGAUAUAUUAGGGCUUUCCUAAUAUUGUCUCAAACACACAAUUUACUCGAUACAAUUAAUUAAAACAACUAUGAUGAAUCAUUAUAAAAAUAAAUUAUUUAACUAACUUUUCAUAAAACAUGUAAAAUUAAAAAAAAAAUCUAAUAGAAGACCACAGGAGCAAAAUAUAAAUACUCUAAAAUUUUUGGAGGAGUAAAAUUAUAAAUUAUAAAAUUACUAUAUCAUACAGCUGAAUCAUAGUAAACUCAAAAGUAAUGCAUUUUGGCUUUGAUGAGACAAAGGGUCAUGAAAAUGGUGUAAACUAAAUUCAUUGGCUGACAGAUCAUGUAAUAUUACAAUACAUGUUCUUACAUUUUUGACCAAGUGAACAUGGGCAUACAUAAAACCAAAUCAAAUUGACCACAUCUGCCAUGCUGCACCCUAAACAAGAGCCAAAGUAAUCCAACUUCACAGGCGAACCUAACUAAAAUAUCUGCGCAAUAGUAAUUUAUAACAAAUUAUAUAGUGUCAAAUAAAACAGAAAUGGGGGAAUAAACCACAUAAUAAUUGGUUCGUCUGAGUAGCAAACCGUCCAGAUCUAAUAAUAAAUUGGUUUGGAUCUUACAUUGGAUUCUGUACAAUUCUCGUCUAGUCUUUGUUUUUGUGUGUGUUCUAUGUUUGGUUCCUCUACAAUAAAGGGGGAGGAGUAAUAAGAAGUAAUAAUAAGUAAUCUAAUAGUCCAACCAGAUAGUUUGGCAUGUCGAGAGCGAUUUGACAUGUCAUGCAUAUGCAAUUUUUCUAAAUGUUUAGACUUUUUUUUUUUUGUCUUAAAAUGUUUAGACUUUUAAACGGGUCUAAUAUUUUAUUGGAGAGUCAGAAUCCGGGGUAUCAGAUGACGUUCAAGUUAUUUUCAUUUUUAUUUCUCAAGUGUGAAAACUAUAUGUUGGGUGCCUAGCUAUCUCCUUUGAGAUAUCUAUUACAUAUAUUUAUAAAAUUUAUUGGAAAUAUAAAAAUAAUGUUCUUGAUUAAUCAGCUCACUUUUUUGUAAGAAGAAUGUUAUGUAGGUUUUUGAGUCGGGGUUCUACGUGAAAAUAACCUAUAUAAAAUACUUUUUAAGUUGGAAAUCGGUUCUUCUUAUACCUCAUCUUCUCUUUUGUGCAACAUUCAAUUUUAAUAACUUUAUUUAAGUCUUUAACACGACACAAAAUUGUUCUACCACCUUUCAAAGACGCUUAGAAGCCCUUUUUGAUCGCAAUUUUGGUCCUGCGCGGUAUAUAUUGGGUAUCAGUCCAGGAAGUUUUUAUCUUUUUGGGCCAAUCGGCCCAAGUCCAACACUAGAUUGAUGGGAUGUCAUGUAAAUUGUCAAUUUCUGACAUUUUCAAAAUUCGAAAAAAUGAAUACAUUCGGGCUGAAGCCUGAAGGCAUGUACUCCCUCUGUCCCAUUUUAACCGCUUUUGACUUUUUUACACGUAUUUUAAGGUGUUAAAAAAAUCACAUCUAAACAUAAUUAUUGUUUAUAAAAUUUAUAUCAAAUAAAAGUUUAGAAUCUAAAUUUUUAUUUGAUAUAAGAAUUAAAUCUUUUUAUUGAGCGUAUAUACUAUUUUUUUACACCUCAAUAUACGUGUCAAAAAGUCAAACAUCAGUUAAAAUGGGACAGAGGGAGUAUUAUCUUAGUAUAUUUAUUUGAAAAUAUCAACAACUUUAAAUGCAAUAGUUAGAGUUUAUUUUGGUCAAAGGUGUCAUAAGUAUUAUUUAAAAAAGAUAAAAUUAUAUAUUAAUAUUUUUGAUGACCGACAACAUCAACCCUCCAAGUUUAGCAACUUCAGUAGAGAUACUUGGAAAUUACAUGCCCUAUUGCCCUGUAAGAUUAUUUAAUAUUAAUCUGCUGAUCUAAAAAUAUAAAUUCAAGUUAAAUAACUAGGAUAUAAAAUUUAUUAUUAUUUAGUUCCGCAAAAAUAAAAUAAUUUCACUCAUAAUUAGUUCACCCUCCUUUCUUGGUCCUUGCAUGUCAUACGUGCAGUUUCCCGCACCACAGACUGAGUCUGUAUCUAAAAUAUAUAUAUAGUUAAGUUCUAUUGGAGCACAAAUCAUAAUUUUUUAGUUUGAUCUUAUAUAAUAUCUGUGAUUAUCCAAAUUUUGAUAUAAUCUAUCAUUUAUAAGUUGUCUUGUACAAAUGGUUGGGACACGGAGACCAAGAAAGUGUGUAAAAAAAAGGAUAAAGUUAGAUGAAAAGUGGGUAUAGUGGUGGGACCCAUUUAUAUUUAAUACUCCCUCCGUCCCACAAUACAUGUCACUUUGACUUUUUGCACGUAAUUUGAUGUGCAAAUAAAACAUACUUCUAUAUAUUAUUUUUUAAAUUUUCUUUUUCUGAAUAAAAGUAUAACAUCCAUAUUUUUAUUCAGAAAAAGAAAAUUUGAAAAAUAAUAUAUAGACAUAUGUUUUAUUUGCACCUCAAAUUACGUGAAAAAAGUCAAAGUGACAUGUAUUUUGGGACGGAGGGAGUAAUAAAUUUGAGAUAAUGGAGGAAAAUAGUGGGUGUAAUAGUGUUUAUAUUAUUAUAGAAUGAAGAUAGUGGAAGAAUGUAGUUGGUGUAAUGAUAUUUUAUAUUAUAAAAUUUUACUUUUUUUAGAAUGUAUAUAAUUGAUGAGACGUCCCAAAAGUAUACAAUUCAUUGGGACGGAGGGAGUAGUAGAGAAGGGAUUCAGCCAAGUCACCAGGUUAUGUACGCGUGAAAUUUUACCUGAAAUCCGCGCCAUGCAGCCUGAAUUGAGUGAAUCCUAAUAGCAUCUCCAACGGUGCUACUAAAUCAUUUUUUAAACAAUAAUAUAAAACGUGAGAACUCCAAUGCUACUCUUUAUAAAUGAGAGGAAAAAGUUAACUAAAAGAGAGAGAGGAUUGAAGAGAAAUUAAUAUAAUAUUGAGUUAAGAGCUACUAGAUGCUCUUUAAAAGAAAGGAGAGAGAGUAGGCUCCUAAAUUUUUAAGAGCACUAAAUUUUGAUUUGCUCCUAAAAUUUAGACUUAGGAGCUUGAAAUGCCAAAACCCUGAUGAAUAAAUAAAAAUAUUAUGUUUUACAUUUAUAUUUAUCUAUAGUACUAUAAUAUACUUUGUGUAUAUAAGUUUACAAACAUAUAUUAGUAAAUAAAUAUUUAUAUGAAAUUUAAUAAAAAUAACUAUAUUUAUAUGAAUAAAUAUAUAUCUAUCAAAUAUAUGGUAUUUGGAUAUAAAUUUAUAUAUAUAUUUUAUGUUGCUGGGUAUUCAAAAGUAAAAACCAAUCCAAUAUUAUAAUUAUUAGUAUCCUUUAGUGUUCAUUACUUUGUUGUUCGUACAGCGAAAAGUAAAUAUUACUAGUAAUACGUUGUGUCGUUAGUUGUUUUUAAUUGUGUAAAGAAUUUAGGUUGUUUUGAGAAUUAAGAGUUAACUGUUAACGGAUUGAAUUAUAUAUAUUUUUUUUGUCAGAGUCUAUAUAGGGAUAAGAUCAAAUAAUUUUUUUUUAAGUUACAAACUUACAAACUUUUUUUUAUUCUCCCGUAAUGUUAAUACUUAAUUAUAGAAAGUAUUCAUGUUGAAAAUUCUUGAAAAAACAUCACAAUUUUUAAAAAUAACGCAUAAAUAAAUCGCGCAUUCAACACAUUUAUAACUGGGGUUCAACAUCGGGUGUUAAACACUAAUUAUCAUUAUGUUGAAUAUAUCUAUAAUGAUACUUAAACUAUAUCUGUGGGGUUUAGGUAGGGUAUGGAAACAUAAAUAUUAGUUAUAUAAUAUGUUUAACUUAGUUCUUAUAUUGAAAAAUUAGUAUAUGUACUUCUCCAACACGAUUUUAAUCGAUAUUCAACAAAAUAUGUUAAAAAAUAUGUUGAACUCAAAUUAUAUAUAUGUUGAACGCAUAAAAUUUGUAAGUUUGUAAGUUUGUACCAGAACUCACCCCUAUAUUCUGAGUUGUAUCAUAGAUAAGCUGCAACACAGAUUUCUUUCUACCAUCAAAGUUUAUCAUCUAACCGAAAGAUACGCAAUAUAUUUCCGGACGUUUGGAUAAUAAGACUUUAAAGUCUGAAUAAGAAACCUUAUGAAGUCUCUUUGCAUGAGCCUAAAAAUCAAAAGAAACAAAAAGAAGAAAAUAAGAAUGAUAAUUUAAGUAAAAAAAGUAUAUAUUAUGUGAAAAUUUUAAAUUCUAUAAUGACAUAUAUGUUUUUAAAAAAAACAUAAUAUAUUAUUUAACCAUAAGAAUAUUAAGAACUUAUAAAUAAUAUUAGACAAUGAUGUAAAAUUAUAACGGAUUUUAUUAUAUGUUUUGAUUAGCUUAUAGUAGAUGUUUUGAUUAGCGGAAUAAAUUAGCCGUUUUUGUUGUAAAACUGUUUGAUAAAUAGCUGAUUGAUCAGCGUUUUCUAACACAAACCAAAACCUCUAACUUAAAAAACUCUUUAAAUAACUUUUUCAACAUUAACUUUUUAAAUUCAAAUAUCUACUCUAAUUCACUAACUACUAAACACAAAUAUUAACUUAUUUUAAUGCUAAAAUUUAUAAAACAUCUCAAAUUUUUAAUUUUGUCUAAGAUCUCUAAUUUUCAAACAAGACCUUAGACAUAUUGAAGUGCUAACUUGUUGUGUGCCUAGUGGCCCAGUCUAGUGACAAAUCAAAUGCAUGCUAUAAACCGGGACUAAUCAGUAGGAGAAAUCUAUUACGACAAGAGAAAUCUAUUACUCCCUCCGUCCCAACCAAUUCUUUACGUUUGGUUUGGGCACGGAGGUUAAGAAAUAUGUAUAAAGUAGUGGAAAAGAGAAAGAUUAGUGGGUGAAGUGGCGGGACCCAUCAAUUUUUAAUGUAUAAAAGAGAGAUAGUGGAGUAAAAGUAGUGUGAAAAGGGAGUAAAAGUAGUGUGAAAAGGAAGGAAAAGUUGGGAAGUGAUGGGACCCAUUUACUAUUUUUAGUAAGUUUUGAAAUGUAAAGAAUUGGAUGGGACAUCCCAAAAAAAAACUGUAAAGAAUCUGGUGGUGGGACAGAGAGUACGACAAAAUUCAGUUUCACCGGAUCCUCAUAAACGUUAAAUAAAUCCAGACGGAAUAAAAGUUCCGACUUAAGUUCUUGUUUAUACGUUUGUUAAACGUGCAAACAAAUGAAGAGAGCAACUCCAACAAAAUAUUUAUUGAUUGGACGUGCAUAUAAAUUAUUAGAAUGAUUGUAUUAAAGAUAUUGACAUUAUGUGAUAUGAUGUGAUAUUUUGUUAAUAUUUUAUUAGAUAUUGUUAGAAAUUAAUUAUCAAACUCAUCAUUAAAUUAUAAUAACAAACAUGUUACUCCCUCCGUCCCCAAAUACUUUUCUCAUUUGUACUUUUCACGUUUGCCAACACACACUUUUAAUCAAUAAUAUCUUUAGUUUUGUAUUAGUAUUAAAUAAAAAAAAUUCACUGUAUUAAAGUACUCAUAAAUACGAAUCCAACAAGAUCACUCAUGACUAUAUUUUAUCUUAUAGAUUAGACGUAAAUUAGUAAUUUGUCUCAUGUUAUGAACAGUGCCGACAUUUCAAACGAGAAACGUUUUUAGAGACGGAGGGAGUAUCCUUCUCCGUGGAAUGUCAGGUAACAUACUAAAAUAAAUUAGUAAUAUCAAUUAAGUUUGUUAUUAUUAAAUUUAUACUAUUAUUUGACAAAAAACCUAAGAUACGAGGUGGUGAUGAGUUAGAUAUUGAACUAUUAAAUAUAAAAAAAAAUUUGUCAGUGAAAAUUAAAAUAGUUUGACAAAAGAAAAUCAUUUAAACAUAGUUUGUAUGUUAAACAAUAUCAAUUAUUUUUCAUGUAUGAAUUUUUUUUAUAUUUACUUGUGUAAAUCUAAUUCAUCAUCAUGUUUACAAGUCAUAUCAGCAUAUGUGAUGUAUUUUGUGUUAAAUAUUUGGAUGAAUUCAACCUCAAUGGCCAAGUUUCUUCAAAAAAAAACAAUGUUGAUGACCAAGUAAUUCAUUUUAGUUUAGAUAAAUAGGAACACUACAAGAAAUUUGACAUUUACCUACCAUUUUUAAGUGUAGGUAAAGAUGAUACAUGUGUAGAUAAAAAGUUUUACCUACCAAUAUUAUAUUGGUAACGAUUGGUAAGUAAAAGUUCGUGGAGAAAGAGUCUUUACUUACAAAUACAUAUAUUAGUAGGUAAAUUUGGGUGGACCCCGUUUUAUGAAAUGAAAAUGGUUGAGUCAUCAGCUGACAUGUCAUCGGUCUACAUGGCAAUGAUGGUCCACUUGGCAUCCAUACGGCAUCUUUUAAUUGGUCCACAUGGCACCUAGUUAUUAGUCCACGUGGCACCUUUUGAUUGGUCUAGAUACACUUAGUGAUUGAUCCACGUGGCACUCUUAAUUUAGUCCAAAUAAUUAUUCAAAACUGUUGCUCUUGGCCAUCUAAAGUUUGCCACAGCAUUAUACAAUUUAUUUAUUUAUUUAUAUAUAAAAAUAUCAAACAAAUAAAUUAUAAACUGAUUUUAUUAAUUGUUUUGAAUGAGAGAUCAUCUCAUACAAAAACUGUCUUAUCAAAGAAUUAUAAAAAUAAAUAACUAAAUCGUCA
rnacentral:lncRNA from 1 species